rnacentral:lncRNA from 1 species
CUACUAACACCUCUGUCAACUGGCAACUCAACUUACCUGGCCUCCCUCUUUGUUUGAUUAUAUGAUCUUCCUUAUUACUCUUCCCUAUAGUAGGAUUCCACUCGCCUCCAAAGAAUUAAGAAAACUGGGAUUACUCGUAGUGAGUGACUUCUAAACAGGUAGUGAGUGACUUCUAAGCAGGUAGUGAGUGAUGAGCAAGUCCGCCAAGACACUACUAAUGUGUCGCGGCAGAGCCGCUAUUCCACUGCUAUCCGAGGUGACUUCUUUCUCUUAUACCAACUAAGGCGACUCUAUUCGAUAUACCCCACUUCGAUAUACCCCACGAUGGACUAGCUAACCUGCCCUCUUGCCUUGACUUGGAAAUAUUCCUUCUUGCCCUUGCUUUAAGAGCAAAUAUCUGCACCCAACCUGGCAAGAACUAUAAAGUAUUUCCUCACUCACACUGAACAAGCACCAACACACAAGUCAACUUUUCAAAGCACUUAACUCACACAACAACUGAUUCCUUUGGCACUGAUCCAAAUCCCUCUCCUUAUCUUGCUUUGGCUUCUUCUCCAGAUACUUAUUAUACUCUAUCUUUUGAUUUUGCUUUGGCUUCUCCUGAUCGAGCUAGCGGAUAGUUCUGUUCUCUAACAGCUUUCCUUGUCGAAACUUCUUAUAGAGGCCCAAACUGUCUUCAGUAAAGUCAAUAAAUACGGAAUUGCACUCUGAAGUAGUAAAGUUCUCAUUUAGGAAUCUCAUUUCAUAAUUGAGCACUAGUGGGUUAGGUUAGGUUAGUUGCUCUUUCCUUAUUUAAUGGUUAGGUUAGUUGCUCUUUCCUUAUUUCAUAAUAUAGUGGAAGUUUGAAGAGCAGGUUUGCAAUGUACCGGGGGUUGGAGCUGGAUCGGUACAAAAGCCAGAGGUUGGUAACGUCACUUAGUCUCUUUCUGUGCCAGUGUUGUAAGUAAAGGAAGCAUCAUCGAAAGAUGGAAAUCAAGUCGUUUGUGGACUUCGGAACAAGACUCAGUUUCCAUAUAGAAUUCAAAUCGCAACGUAGUAAGAUAGUACAAGCUUUGAAGGUAUCCUCUAGUAGUAGUUGAGUUAGCUUAGUUUAGUGUCUUUUAGUUCCACUGAAAUCUGUCUUUGUUGUCCGUUAUUCAUGUGUGCGGAACGCCAUUCUUUACGUUUUUGCUGUCAGGAGGUUGUUUAGUAACUUCUAUAAUAGGUGUGUAAGAGAGAAUCAAUUAAAUGAACUCGUUAACGUGAGCUUCGCGCAACUAAGUAACUCGCUAACGGAGCGCACCCGGUGAGUCUCUAAUUUACGUGAGUGACAUAUAGAUGUGGGUGCCGAUAUUACCUAUUUGGUUGGUGUUUUCUGAACAGAGCCUUAUCACCAGCCUGCACUUCAUAACAAUCUUGUUCAAUUCCUUGGUGACUUUAGGAACCCCUUUUCUUUCCUAUUUGAUUGAUGUCGGCAUCCCUAAACUAGAAAGAAUAGAAUAGAAUCUACCUAGCUUCAUAUAGAAGAGCGGAACCCAACUGCUUACUUUCAUGCUCCUGACUCUACACUUGUUGAACAAAUAGGCACCGAACAACAGAAGCGGAAUAUCUGAUAACUCCGUAAGUGCCCUGUCUAACAGUAAUUUCAUAUCUCUUUCCAUUAGCACAAGUCAAAGCAGGAAUUGAUAAACCAACUUAUCUAACGUGCAGAUAAUCUUUGAUCUUCCCGGAAUCCUUCUUUUUGAAACCUUCCUUCCCUUUUUGCCAAACUCUAUUUGAAAGUGCCUUCCCAACACCGUGUAGCCAGUACUAUAUGAUUACCUUAACAGAACAACAACUCUAUUAGCUGAAGUCCAAUCAAAGAAUGAAACAACUCCCCGGCACACAACCGGAGUCUUCCCUGACCGAAACUAAACUAACUGAACCGACAAAUAGCCUGGUUCUUGCCCUCACUCGCUUUCGCACUAGGGCUUUCGCGAACUCGCCUAUAGCUUCUAACUCAACUCAUUUCAACGACUUUCCCUUUAGCCUCUAACUAACACUCGAAUAACUCCUACCAUUGCUACCAUUGCUACCGCGCAACUAGAACUCUCUGCCGCCCCCUUAAUACAGGUUCACUCAGGAAUUGUCAAGUUGCUUGACCCUGUCACUUAUGGGUUGAAGCCUGAGAAGCACCGGCGGAAGCCUUACACCUACUAGCUCUCCAUUCCAAUACUGCUUAGCUCCCGAACACAGGACUCGUUCACCAAUUCUCUGAGUCACUGAUAUGAUACAGAUUCUCCGCAUCUAGUAGUAGCUCGCCCAUUAGUAGUGUCUUUGUCUAGUAGUGGAAAGUAGUUCUCUGAAGUAAGAAUACCUGUUAGCCGGCAACUCGUAAGUCAAAGAAUGCAUAUAGCAACUAUAAACUACUGGCAAAGAAUUCCACUAGCAACUAUGAAUUGCCCUAGUAUAGAACUCGUUAUUGUGCUUACUUUUAGACUCAUAAUUCCACUAUCAACUCUUUAUUGCCCUAGUAUAGAACUCGUUAUUGUGCUUACUUUCUUUCUACAGCUUAUUCAGUUGGUAACCGUCAGGAGCGAGGAGGUAGGUUACUGAAACUAGUGAGUUAGUAGUUAGGUUCCAAUUAACACUUUUGACUUGAAGAACAGCUUGUAUACUUUGUCCUUAUCUCCGGGUGGGGUGGCUUGGGAAUAUCCCUCCUCAGAGAGGUUAUUGUGUCUGUAACUCACUAAAGGUAGGCUUUUCAGAGGGAGUCCUAAUUCCAUGGCGUCAGUAAGUAAAGAAACAGAAACAGAAUCAUUAGCAAGAGCGAACACUAGCGGCAGUGAGCUUAUGAGUUUUCUCCCUAAUUUCAUCUGUGCAAGUAGAUUUAUUGGGGUUUGUUGGUGAUGAGUCUACUUCAGGUCCUGCACUACCUUUCUUAUGAGACCUCCUAAGGCUUACAGAGGUAUGUAUUCUUACUAGAUCUUAGUAUCGGAGUAGCGGGAAGUCUAUUAAUAAGUAGCAGCUGACGCUGCCCUUGCUUCUUAGGUUUCUGGUUUGAGUCCCCUAAUACCUUUUCUUGGUCUGCCAUUCCUUUACUGAAGUCUCUCACUGCUUACUUGAUAACUCGCUUCUAGGCUUUAGGCUUCUGCUGCUUACUUAUCUCUUUGCUUUUUAGCUUCUAAUAUCUUAUUACUAAUUAGGCUUGGCUCCACUUCUUCCUCUAAUACUAGAACUUGGAACUAGGGUUUUCACUGCCGAUAACAUGGGUCGAUGUAAUUGAGCUACAGGAAAGAAUCAACCUUGUAAUAAAGAGAAUGAAAACAUCGCGAUCAAAGGAAUCCCGGUGUAGUAUGCUGAGAGACAGAAUAUCAGAAUGGAAUUACCAUGAAUAAGACUUCCACUCAUAGCUCGAAACUCCUAAUCCUUAAUGCCCUGCCUUCCGGGCUUAUUAACCUUUAUCUCAUUCUUUAGUGGCAGCUGAAAACUUCCCCUACUUACUAUUAGAGCCAAAACGACUAUGAUCAAUUACUCGCCUGUCUCUCCUAUGGUAACUAUUAACUUCAUUCAACAAGUGUAGCUAGAGUUCGAUGAGAAAGAGAAGGAUCCGAGGCAGGAAAAGAAUCCGGGGAGUGUAGAAUUACUAUAAUUACCUGGAAAGCUGGGUUACUGGAUUUAUUGAAGUCUGUAUUUCUUUAUUUCCUUAGCUGUAUUCUUUAUUUCUUACUUAGUCUACUUGUCUGCUUUUUGGGAUGAAAGAUAUGAUACUUCCUUACUUAGAUCAAAGCAAGUUAAGAGCAUUAUACUAGAGGGUGGGCCGAGAGAGAAAGAGAAACAGGAUUGGUUAGUUACUAAGAUCUAUAAGAACUGAAAUUGAGUAGUUGCUUGGCCAGUUAUAGUUUCAUCCCCACAGUGUCAUCAACGACUUUCGAGCUCCCUUCCGCGCCUCUCACACUAACGCGUAACGAGUUUACUGAGAUAAGAAAGAAAUCAAUGAAUCCAGAAAUGUAGUUAAACGGCAGAAGAUCUGAUGCCGGGCCCCAGGUGUUAAGAAUACAGAUCAGGUCUAGGCUUAAGUGCUUGUGUUAAGCAAAGAACAAAUCUAGAAUCUAAGUCUACUUGGCCCCUACUUAAUCCUAUCUAUUCUUAUUAAGGAUUUAGUUUCGAAAGAUCUUCUUAUUCUUAUUAAAGAGAAAGUUGAGAACGAGUCCAGUCCUGUGUGAGCCUUAGUGUUAGGAUCGGAGUGGGAAUGGAGUAGCUCCUUAGCACAACGUUAGAAGUUGCUUGGCCCCCGCAUCUGGUAUAGGAUUGAUAGCUAUGGCGAUCAGAAUUGAACCAGUAAGGGCAAGAAUGCACCCAGGAAAUCAAAGAGAGGAGAGAAAGAGACUCAGCCUACUGCUCCUUGAAACCCACCCCUAGUACUGGCAAAGUAUACCUUGCUAUGAAAAAAGACGGGAAAACGCAAAAUGAUCAUGAGAAAUUGGACAUCUAUUAGCGGAAAUGACUUCGCUACCUUUUUUCUCGGGAAACUGGGCUCCUGCCGCGUAACGUUAGUAGUUACUUGCCUCCUAAAAUUCUCUAUCAAUUGGAUCGGUCUAUUAGCUAAAAUAAGGUUGCUGCCUUUUUUCCCGUGUUUUGGUGAAGUGGAAUUACUUGUUUACUGACUUGGCGGGUAGGCUUGUGGAAUUCCAAUUGACUAGCUAACCCUUAGUUACACAUCAUACAUGUCUUGGCGGAUAACUUGGACUCUCUUUAUAUAUGAAACCACUUCAGAAAGUAGAGUUUACAGUUCCAUUUCCCUUCUUGUAUAGGUCGGAUCGGGGUUAACACUUAUUAGAGGUUGGGUCGGGUAUAGUAGAGAAUUGCCUGUUCCAGGUCGAGUUAGAGUUAACACCAAGUGCUUUCCUUUGCCCCUGUUCGAGGUAAGCUUAUGAAUUGCCAGUUCAAGUUCUAUGGUUUACAGCCCAAACUAGUAAACGAGUAGUCCAGAGCCAGAUCAGAGGAGAGAUCCGAGGCAAGAUCAGAGGAGAGGCAAGAGAGGUCAGCUGUGGAAAGAGAAUAAGCUGUGUAGAGAUCCGGGGGUAAUAUUCCUCAACCUUAUAAGCUUGAUAGACUCCAUGAAAAUCCUUUCCUGCUACCCCAACUGCUGAAGAUCUUUAUCCUGACUUUAGAACUGAUCCCGAGAAAACAUCUGAUAUGUCCCUCGUUGCCCGAAAGAAGGACUUGUUUAAGAAAAGUGAAACUUCAAUUUGGGAUAUAGAAUAAGACUCAGUCCUGUGGGAAUCUUUCUUCUGGCGCGGUGUGAUCCAAGUCCUCAAUGUUACGCUGUAGCUCUAAGGUUAACUCCUAAUGUUAAAGUCAAAAGGAUGCUAUUAAGGUAUGGGUCAGGGUCUGAUUCCUCUCUUAUAUACUUUCUUUGGUUCUAAAGAUUCCAUUAAUGACUUGAUUGCCGGAACCCCAACUUCAGUAUCAGGGGUCGGAGCAGGCUUGCUCAUAACGAGUUUCAUAGUUUCCUGUUGCCAUAGGAUGGGUAUAGUAGCAAUAGAUAAAAGAGGUAGAAUAGCUAUAGGAUCAAGAUUCCAGAUAGGGGGUCAAGAUGUUAGGCAUCAAAAUGCAUUCGUUGGACAGUGCACAUCAUUUAUUGAUGAGUGAUGAGUUGGGCUAUAAAAUGAGGGCAAUAAGGCAACCUUUUUGUUCAGGGUAGUGCUGAGGAUGCAGGCGCUAGGGGAGAGUUUUUCUAGUUUCAUGAGUUGUCGAUUCAGAAAGGGGAGGGUAGUUUACUUACUUGUGUCGUGUAGGGGAAGGGGAGUUGACUUCCUUUUUGAAUUCAGUUACUAGGCUAGGAAGCCCACCGAUUGCCCGCAUCUAAUAGACUAUACCAAGACUACUUAGAGAUUGAACUCACCGAUGACAAACUCAUAAGUAGGAAUGCAAGAAUGCAACUAAGCUGUAAAAGAAUGAAGCAUAUGAGCCAAGCCGAUAAGCUACUUCUUAACUCUUUCACUCCCUAGUGAUUCACUCCCUUCCCUGGGUGAACUGAUUGUAUGUAGUAUAGUAGCUUGUAAGACGGUAACCCCAAUUUCCCUGCCCUCUCUGGAGUGGCAUCUGCUCUUUAGAGUGUUAGUAUAAUGUACUUCUUGUAGUUAUACUUCUUUAGGGUAACCGUCAGUAUAGGUUGUUUUCAUGAUAUCUUAAUAACAAAGCUCUUUGCUGGUUAAUCGCGUAAUAGAAGCGAAACCAACUAAAGGAAAAGAAAGAGAUUAUGAAACCUACCGAUGUAAUGAGGGAAACUAAAACAAACCCAUAUACUAUGCAUCUCCCCUAUACGUGUAAAACCUUCUCUUUCUUAUUCAAAUUCUAAUGAGGAAAGGAGAAAACUACUGAGGAUAUGACAAAUAUCCCGAGAGAGACCCCAUCUCAUGUGACCCCAAGGCCAAUUAGUAACAUUGGAAACAUCAAUUAGUCAAAAAAUAAGUGAAAUUAGUAACAAUAAGUCACAGCAGGAAGACUCCACUAGGGAAGGGGCCGUCGCGUCAGCGAGCUAAAAGGCGCGGCAGGGCUGCUAUAGUUCCCAGUUAUGUAGGCCAAGUAACUGCUAAUGUUACGCGGCAGCCACAAUAGCAUGUUAUAACUUGGCCAAGCAACGGCGCGCCAAGACACUCGGCCAAGUAACUACUAACCAAGCCGAUCUAGGCGCGGUAGCGAGCUAUAAUAGCGGCAGUUGUUUUGACAAUAAGAAACAACAUCAAGUAUAUUUAUGUUGAGUUAUUGCCGAGUCCUGUGUUCGGGAACAUAAUGGUUUUUUUUACUAGGACAUAAGAAUAAGUAGAUAUACGGUGCAUCCCAGGCCUUACUUGUGUGACUUCUCAGUCUGAACUACCCUUCUCUCUUUCCUUCCUACUGGCCAACAAAUCUGGUUUGUUAGUGAAAGUCUGCCACUACGCUAACUAGCCUCAUCACUCUGGUCUUUACUGUAUCUCAGCAUGUUCCUACUGCCUGCCAUUCUGUAUCGAGCCCUAGAUUCUUAUUAUGUUGAUUUGUAUUCAUGAUAAUGAUUAUGUUUACUUAUAUUUAUAUGCAUUGAUUUAUAUGUGUGUUAAUAUAUAGUAAUUGAUUCUAGUGUAUCCUACGACGCUAGGACAGAAUUGAACAAAUAAGUAGAAGAGGCAAGCAACGUACAUUAUCACAGAACUCAACCCGUAGCCGAGCCUUAUUAUUGAGCAUCGAUCCAACAAACCUCAAUCGUUAGUUAAUUGAACUCCGCUGUCCAAGUCAUAAAGCUACUACUAGCUCUUAGCCCGAUCUUCCCAGCUUUGAUUCUUGCUUCGCAGUUCGGGCCUGUCUCUCUGGAUUUGGAUUCUACCAUUCCCGGACCUACGUCUUGCUUUGUUAGCUUCCCUUACUUGCUUUUAGUCUAUCUUUUCUCGAACCAGAUUGACUUUCGCCAAUACCAAUAUGAAAGAGGCAAUUAAGAGACUAGUUUGUUAGCGUACGAGACCGGACAAGUAACUAAAGACAUAAUUCCACUCAAAAGAUAUAAUGGAACUGGGCCCAGCCCCUUACUAUUGAUAUACUAAUCCAAAAUCUGGCUUUACCGUCUCUAGGCUUACUGCCCGGAUCUAACAUAUGGAUUUGGUAUCGGCGGUUCCAUUCUACCUAGUUAUAGUGAAAUUCUUUGCAUCAUCUUUUCUUAUUAUAUUAUCAGUAGCUCAGCUCUUUUCUAAUAAGUACUUUUAGAUUCUUCCAGGUAUUAGUAAGCUUGUUUGCUUCUCAAGGUUAUAGGCAGGAAAGUCAUACUCUAGCUCGUUAAGGGGCAGCCGCUACACUAGUUCUCUUUCUCACUUAACACAGGUCAAAAAAGCAGAAAGAAAACACUCUUUUGGGUCUCUUCCCGUAUGCACUGGAUCAUAUCUCACUUCUUUAUUUCACUAGUGUUGAGAACGCUUGACUGUGUACUAUGCCCUUAUUCUUAUACUAUGGAGCUUAUACUAUGGAGCUUCCGCUAUGGAGUUUGGUUCUAUGUUCUACUAACCAUGUCCUGUAUUCACGAUAUACGUCUGAUACGGCGCCUAGAGAUAUAACUUCUAUUAAUAUAUGGCUGUUACUUAUGUGUUUCGUUCCUGUUCGACUUGUCCCUACUACUAAUAAGUUUCAUCCUGAUGCUUACUCCUAUUAGUCUACUACUGGUGCUUACUCCUAUUAUACGAUGUGCUAUGUCAUACACAUAUUCUUAUUCCCUUUUGAGUAUAGAUGCACUGGCAAUUAUGUAUUAGGGCCCCUAUGAAUCACAUUCCUUUUUCUAAGGAACAGUAUUGGUAGCACUAGUUGUAGCAUCAAAGCAAGUAAAGCCGGGGAAUGUAAGCAAGGAUAUUAGGACUCAUUUUCUAUAUUGAUUCUUUUACCCAUAUUGAUUGAGUUGCUAGUUAAAGGAAGAGGCGGACUAGCAAGGAGUAGCAGGGCGAUGAGUUCUAGUUUGGAGUCCUUUUUUGAAUGGAACUCAUUGGCAUAGGAAUGACCAUGGAAAGUUUGAAUUAAAGGACCGAGUCACAGAAUUGACACUAUUUCUUCUAAUAAUGGAGUGGGCAGGUGCGUAGAUCAAUAAGGUCAGGGUACCUGGCUAAGUUAUCCAAUUCUCAAGUCAGGAUACCUGGGCUACUAUGGGCUAAGAAAUGAACUAAUUAGUCAAAGAAUGCUUGUAGUGUUGUGCGUGUGAACAGAUGUAGCCAAGUAAAUAAAAGAAUGGAAAUAGAAUCUAGGGCAAAUGCCCCGCAAGGUAGGAAGCCGGAAUUGCACUCAGUAGUAACGGAAUCAAAGCUGUUGACUUAACCACAUAAGCUAGCCUCGUACCACUAGCUACUACCGAUAAGACUGAUGAAACACCCCAGUGGAUUGAACUGCCAUUCCUUUCUUUUGGCCCGAGACAUCCUAAACCGAAACAACUGAUUCAGAUACUUUAGCCGCGGAUAUAGAACCUCCUCCACAGCUCAAGGCUUGCUCCACUGGCUUCAAUACCUUAUCUUCCCAUAAUGAAUUCCACUAAUGCCUUAAGGGCUACCGCACCUACCGUAUAUGUCAAGUAUGGCUUUCCUGCCUUUAGGUCUCCUAUUGCUCUAUCCUAUUCUCCAAUUACUGCCCUAGAACCUUGCCUUACAUACUACAAGCUUUAUUCCCUCUUCCACGCCUCUACUCCUUAGUUGCACAUCUUAUCCUAUCUAUCCCAUCUAUAAGUCGUACUAUAUCCUCUCUAGGCCUGGCACUGCUAUAUCAAGGGAUCCGACAUACCAUCCCAGUCUAAUACCUCCUCUUGGAAUAAUGAAUUACUAAAACUAGAAACAAGACCGGUGCCACUAAUAUGAAAAGGGUAGCACCUACCCCCACACGAGAAUCACUUUUAUGCUAAGAAAGAAUUAAGCUACGACUAUUAGAUUGAAACACUACCUUGUCAGAGUAGAGGUCCUAUACUGGCAGUAAUGAACCAAAGAACAAUAACUUUACAUACAUAAUGGGAACAACGAUAGGAGAUCAGAAUACAAAUCAAACUAACAACACUGACUCCGCUAACUUGGAAUUCCGAUGGUGCCUAUAAGAUUGACACCGGGCUACUAACUAUAGAAAUGGGUCUACUACUUAAGUGAAGAGAAAACAAAACCUAUUGCUUCUGGAGCCAACUAGGAAUUACGCUCAUUGAUAUCAGAACCAAACCCAUCAAUCAGCAUAUGGAACGAAGCUACCCCACAGUAUUGCUUGUAUCGGUAGCACAUGGGUAGCAACGAACGUAUCAAUAGCAUAGGUAGCAAUGAAAACCAUAUUGAUUGAUUGCGCGUACGCGUAUCAAUAGCACAUAGGUAGUAUCAAUACAAUAACAGAGCAGAAGAGAGUUAGACAGAAGAGAGUUUCUUCCGUGCCAAAUCUAUUCUAUUCUCUUAUCCCCGUGCCAAAUCUAUUCUAUUCUCUUAUAAUAAUUAGAAUAUAGUUGAUUCAGUGCCAAUGCAAUAUAUGACUUUGAGCAGCAUAUACUACUUUUCACUGAUUGGUAUAGGGAUGCCUAGCUUACUUGCACAGCACAGUCAACACACCUACACACGGAGAAAAGAAACAAACACAUCUAGAGCUGCUAGUCACUCAUUAUUCAAGUCAAAUAACUCAUGCAUUGCAGGGCCGGGCAAUCAUUCUUGUCGUAAAAGCCCUUAAGCCCGAAAGUCACAUCAGUAAGUCUGUUAGCGGACCCACGUUCUGUUGAUUAGGGUCAACGUCGACGUCAACGAGCAUACCCCGCAGAGAACUAAGUCGAUAGUUCGGGUCGGUGGUCCACACACUCGUUCUGUUAGGUCAUUCAAUCAUUCUGAAAGUCACAUCGAUAAGUAUGUCGAGCAGAAGUAACAUCAACAAGUAUGUCGAGUAGCGCCCCCGUUCUGUGAGCGGUAAUUCACUCUGUCUUCGAACGGGGAUCAUCUCUCCGCUCGGUCAUUAACUCUGUCUUCGCGGAUCAUCGCUCAUUCAUAGAGGUGUGAUCAACUGGUCUAGGUGCCCUUUCCUUGGAAUGGGUCCCAUAUUUCUGUGUUGAAUCAUCAAAUGACAAAUCAUGUGUUUCAGCCUUAGACCCCGGAGAGAUAUUCUGUAUUCUUAGCAAUAUUCUUAGUAGUAAAGUCGCUAUUGUCUUAUCCUACUUAGUGGAAUUAUGUCUUCAAUCAUAGAUCUGUAGACUGAACACUGGAAUCACAGAUAUAUAGUGAAGCGAUAAAGUUUCGCUGGUUUUUGACCUUAUUUAGCUUAGCAAAUAGAAAGAAGUUUUACUAUACAGCAAAAGAAUAAUGAAUGGAAUGUAGUUGCGCGGCUAGCUUAGCGUAACUCUUUUCGGCAGUUGAACUAGACAAGUGUUUUCAUAUCAAAUAGGGGAGCCUUACUCUCCCAUCCCUAAGCUAAGCCCCAACCCCCUUGCUCUAACUCUAACUACUCUUACUUAUAUUCUUCAAAUAAUAGCUCUGGCCCUGCCUUGCUUUCGGUCUUACUACCAAACUCUGCAACUAAAUACUUUCAUCUUGCCCACAAGAACAGUAUGCCGAUCCCUUGAUCUUGGUCUACCGUCUAAAACAUACACUGCUCUGUCUCAUUCCCGCGCUGUUUAGUUUCAAUAUGAUGGGCCCUCUUCUGCUAAUAAGAGUAGAAUUGCUGUUUCUAAGAAUCGACCUGGGGAUAAAGAAUACACCUACCGUGCAGAGAUGUGGUAAGUAACCAUUAGAAUGGAACAGGUGUUGACAAGAAUGACCUACCAACUAGGAAACCUCAAAAGAAUAGAAAUAGUACUCAUCGGACCUUCUACUACUAAUAUCAGAAUAUGACUACCGCUUCCAGAGCUUAACUUAACUACAUAACUCAGGUCGAUCUCGAACCUCGCUCUACCAUACCGCCGCCUGCCCCUCUUUUUGCAUUCCGCAUUGAUAGCUUGAGUAUUGAACUCCCCUAUCUUAGGCUUACUUUACGACUUCUGUCCUUACUGCCCGGCAUCCACAUAUGUAUUUGUCCCACCAAGCAACCCAUAUCACUCUGACGCUCCCGGCGCUUAGUCUAAAAUGAAUUCCUUCUAGCCUUAAAGCGACUAUUCUCAGUGUACUAUUACUAUUAAAUGACAAACUUGUGCUUCUCGUAACCUCCUCUCUAAACAUAGGAUCGAACAAGGUGCUUUUGAGUCUAAUGAAUGCACUACUAUUUCUAUCAAGUAGUAUGCCCACUUUCUCAAAAGAAAGGUGCUAAGAGCGUUCACCCUGUCACUAGAAAGAAAGGAAUAUCGGCAAGGAAAGGAAUAUCGGCUGCUCAACCUGUCACUAGAAAGAAAGGUGCUAAGAGCGUUCACCCAACACUAGAGAGUACUUGAUUCUGGCCUUUGCUUCUUGCCCUUGUUUGCUUGUUGAGAGCACCUGUUCUAUGAUUUUGUAAGCGCUAACUGAGGUAUGCACUGCAACUCUCAUACUUUUCUAUGACGGGAUCCUCAAUAAGAAGAUAAAGGCGAGGAUCUUCAUCCACGACAGGAGGAAGCCUUAAGCGGUGCCGACUCUGCCAGCCUUUUGUCCUAUUAGUUUCGCUUUCAAAGGAGUCAAUGGGAAAACUAGGGAUAUGGAUUCAUUAGGUUCAAAUUCUCCUUUUGUUCUUUUAAGGCAUAAGAGAGGAGGGAACAACCAUUGUGAAUGAUGCUAAGCUAUCAAAAGUCACUACGCAACCUCUACUCAAGAGUACGUAAGAGAUGAGGGAGGAUCGAUCGGAUCGGGCUUUUAUUUAAAAUCAAGCAUUCUGACCCUAGCCUAUCUCACCAUGGAAGUUUCUAGCCUUAGCAUAUAGGGCGGUCCUUAAGCGGUAACGGAGGCCGUGUUUCACUGAUACUUUCCCAUAUAAGGAGUGGAUGCUGGUGAGCUGCUCAAUAAUACUUGUUCUCCUAAAAUAUUUGGAAAUCUCCCUUGAGGGUAGGGAUGACUCUUUUAGCAGCAUAUGUCCCCUAGGGUUUGAUCUCCCUUAAAGCUUCUUCUUUGGUGUAACAAUGGCUUAAGGCCGAAUUCAUCUUCUUCCAUCCCUGCACUGUUAUACGUGCCAAUCCUUUCCAUUCAAGCUCGGGCCGUAGGUGUAAGAUCCCAGUUCUUCGGUGCAGUUAAGAGGUGGGGCUAGCUAAUGCAGUUAAGAGGUGGGGCUAGCGAAACUUACUCCACUUCAUAGAUCUCUCUUCUGCUCUCCGCAUCAAUGGCAUGAGAAUUCUUUGGCUUUGUCAGGCAAUGGCAUGAACUGGGGACUGCUAAACAAGCUUAGAUUUCUCAUUUCCUGAUCAUUAUCGAAAUCACCAUUUGCUAACUCUCACAAUCAACGAGCGAAGAUAAGCAGAGAAUUGUGCUUGUGUUGGGUUGGGGAGAAAAGGUUUUCUCAAUCCCCGUCUUCUAAUCCAGUAGGAGCCAUCCUUGCCUAAUCCAGAAUGUGAGAGAGUUGCAAUCAUCUCCAGAAUGUGAGAGAGUUGCAAUCAUAACUAAAUAAGGAAGCACUCAAUCGCAGCUUGAUGGGCUCUAGCUCUAAAUGGCCCAAUCCAGCAUCGCCGAAUCCACCCGAUCAAAUGUUCGUUUUCUCAAAAGGAAAGGUUCAAAAAGGGUGCGUGCGCGCUUCAAGGCUAGGUGCAUUAUUGGAUUGGCACUCUUGCUUUCACUUAGGGUUUAGAUCGGGAUUCUUGUUUUACCAGCUAAGCAUUUCAGGGGUUGGUUAAUAGACGCUUUAAGAGCAACGGGCCCCAUAAGAAAAGAGGUUGAUAGACACUAGACCUAUAGGGGGAGGGAGGAAGCGACUGAAAGGAUAAGGAUAGGGUCGAUGUCAUUUAGUCCGAUCUUUUUUGGAAAAGGGAGAACGAACCUUGACUUGCGAAUAACUCACUAUCGACUAUAAGCCCUGGGGAAACUAAUAUUAUAGCUAAUCCCUUAUGUUGCCCGCGUAACGGCUGUUCUAAUGCAUUUGUAGCCUUAAUGAAAGUACUGGACGAGGUUGUCAACUUACUAAGACAACUCAGGUUCGCGUCAGUCUCAAUUAGUUCGUCUGUGAGAGUAUAAAGAAGCAGUUCUCAAGUCAGCAGCAAGUUCAAAUAGAGAGUUUUCCUUGGCUUACGUUGAGUUCUUGUUUUCUCGGUAUUAGCGAGUUGACCUGUAGCUUAUAUAAGUGGGGAGAUAUUCCAUUCUUUCUUGAUUUGUGUUCCUCUGUGUAACGGGAAGGGAGAUGACAUUCCUCUGAUAUAUAUGCACAAGAUAGAGAUGAAAUGAAUGGUUGACUCGGCGCUAAGAGAAGAGGCUAAAGAUAGAAAGUCUACAUCGACUCCAGAAUCGGCAUAAGAAAGAUCUUCAGCAGGAGAAAGUUAGUCAGCUAAAAGCGGGAAGGAGAAGGAGCGGGAAGGAGAACUGUUAGGACAGAGGCAGAGGAUUGAUCCACGUGCUAAAGGAAAGGGUGUUUCAGUUGACAGAGAAGAGUUUCGAAAGCGAUAAGCUGCAAGCGCAGUGGGAAGUUCCUUAGUCGGCUUGUCUAUACUAAGCUUGGCCGGGUCGGGUGCCGCUGUAGCUCAAACAAAGUGGUUUCGUGGAGUCGGAUUGAAGGUUCUGUUCUGAAAGUGUGGAGUACGGUUUACAGUAAAGUCGACCAUAGAAGAAGAAGUGCGGAAGAAAGUCAAAAGUGACCUACUUGCUAACUCUAAACAAUCUGAACUCAGCUAGUCAACCCCGCCCAAUAGGUUUCUAGUGACGGCUAGGAAAGCUCCUAUGUAAUCUAUAAUACGGAAUACUUUUCUCUUUAGGUGCGACUUAAUCUUUUGGAAAGUUCUUUACUUGUGUUGUCAACGAGAGAUUCCGCUGUUCGAAAGGAAGCAGAGCGGUACUAUUCCUUAGAGUCAGAAGGGGGCUUGAACGCCUUUCCCUCAAACACUUAACUUCGAGCAGUAGGGCGGGUACAGGACUUCUUUUGCCGAGGAGAACACAAAUCAACAUUAUACAGGCUUUUGCGCCAUCUCAUUCUUUCAUUUACACUCCUUACGCUAAACUCUCUAACGCACAAGCAAAACAAGUAAUGGAAACUCUAUAAGCAAGUUACAUAUAGAAGGCUGGUAAUAUUCAAUCUUUCUAUACAAUACUAUAUUCUCUUCUUUACAAGUCCACAAAUACGGAAUUUCCUCUUUCUCUCGCAGAAGCAUCAGAUUUUAUUGCUUGCUCUUGACUUUCGACUUACUCUUUACUUUUUGCCAUUAAUUAAGCUAUCGGCAAAAGACAAUUGAGGCCUUUUGCUCUAGGUUCAAAAAGAAUGGAAUGGAUGUCGGCUCUGCACUUCGAGAAGAAACUCACUUUAUCGUUGGUGCUUGUUCUGUUUACUGCUGGGGCGCACCACCUGUUCUGCUUUAGAUAGGAGGCCUUUUUGAUAUGAUAUCGUCAGAGAUAAGGAGAAGAGAGAAGCUUCCAGAUACCAACCAUUCUGCCCUGAACACUACUAAUAACUCCUUGCGAGACAAUCUGUUUACCUUUUUUGAUGGCCCACACAAGAACGAAACGAAACUUGCAGAACCGAUCGUCGUCAACACAAGAACGGAUGAAACUCACGAUGAAACAAGAACUGAAUCACUUUAAGACCUGGCAGCUGCUUCCUUACCAACUGAUGAUCUUUAUUCUGCCCUAUCUCUUCGGCUUCUGUAUAGGAGGAUCAACUUAUUGUCUUAGCGCAGUAGGAAGUAAUGGAUUCCGCCCUGAACCCAACUAGUAACAGAUAUACAAGUAGGCGCCAAGUAACGGAUAGACAAGUAGUCAAGCAACUACCCUUUCAUAACAGACCUCUACUCAAGUGCUGACAAUAUAACUCUACUGGAAUUGUUUCACACAAGCACCAACACAAGUCUCUCCUCUCUUUACUUAGAGCCAAUCACUUAUCUUUACUACUUCCCACUUGCAGCACUAGCAGCUUACGACUGAACCCUCUUAUCUCUAUGACCUAACUCACCCUGCUUCUUUAUAAGAUGAAACAAGGGAUGACUUUCUCACUUCCUCUGAUCCUGAUACAGGCAAUUCUAUAAUAAUCUAAUAAUUCAUUUCUAAAUAAGAAAGAUAAGAGUCAGCAGCGUAAGGAAAGGAAGCAAGAGAAUCCGCUGUGUGAGUUUAAUCCUGGGCAACUGGGCUGGCAGUUCUAGUUGAAUACCGAGUAACGUCUAGGUUCCUUCGAGAAAGAGGCUAUGGUUAGUUACAAUGUAAUCAAGCUACUCCCUUAAGCAGACAAGCAGACCCUUCCUUAUAGUGUGGACUACGGAGAGGUCGGGUAUAGUAAAGAAUUGCCUGGUACCAGAGGAUAGGUCGGCUUUGUAAGCUAUGAAAGAAAGUCUAGUUCUUGCCCCAACGGGUAGUGGAGUAGUUAAGAGCCAUAACAGUCAAAGUAAGGUCUAGGUCGGGUGUUGACGAUGAGUAUACUAUUUCUGUGUCCUGUGUACUAGAGUGUUGAGUAAGUCAGUAGUAAGUCCUAAGUGUUGAGUAAGUCAGUAGUAAGCCCUAAGUAAACUAGUUAUUAGUAAGCCCUAAGCCCUAAGUUAGUAGCUAGUAAGCCCUUUAGUGGAAUUCUUUGUUUCAUCAGUAGUAGUUGACAAAGCGGAGGGAGAUGAGAAAGCAGCUCAGUAGUCAAUAUCAGCUGUGCCAAGCCGGGUGCUCUUUCUCUCAAUACGGAAAGUCAGAGACCAACUCAGAAGGCUAAGUCAGAAUGUCCCUAAGCAGUCUAAGAAUCAAACUAACUAGUCCAAGGCCAAGCAACGGCGAGUCCUAAUUCUUCCUCAGACAGGCGAAGACAGGACUUUGUUAUAACUCAUUAUAGAACGAACGUAUUUAUAAGAAUCUAUUCCUUGCUUUGACAUUAAGUAUGUAGGCUAAAUAAAUGGGCAUGUAGGUUUUCCUUUUUCCACUACAUAAAGAGGCAUGUGUAUGCUUGACUUUGACCCUACCCGGAACCCUGACUACCUACCCGGAACCCUGACUAUAAGAAAUCCGCCUUAUGAAACACAUAACUUAGAUUGGAUGUUACAAUGUUAUGUUAUUCAAUGAGCCUUUCACCAGUAAGCCCCAGACAAUAAGAUAAGGGAGUAGCAUAUGACAAUAUGAUAAGGGAGUAGCAUCUAGUAUAUAAGUAACGUAUUUCAUGAGUCGUGGGGGAUUCUACCAUUCUCUUUUAUGUGCACUAACUAACUAACUAACGCCGACGAAGAAAGCAUCGGACUUCAUUAUCACUCCUACGGACGCGCAAUGCCUUGUGUCAUUGCUAGUUUGCUUAGUAGUUUGUUGGAACUCACCGGACUAACGCACCCCGUGAAAUAAGCGUGAGCGCCAUGGCUAGUUUGUUCCCCUGUGCUAACGCUAGUUUUCAAUAGGGAUAUAAUCUACUCUACAAAUUCAUCUAAUAUACAAAACUUUCGAAUAGAAAAUAAGUGACAUCUAAUGGAAUCGAAUAGCAUUCCAAUAAAUAACCGAUAUGAGCUUCUAUCAUUACUCACUACUUCAUUACUCACUACUUGAAUAACAUAACAUUACAUUUCUUCCAUUUCUGCCCUCUUGCUUAAGUACAGAGGAAAGGUUCGGAACAAGCGAAAAGUAGCAUAUAGGUACCAAUAUCUAUUCUUCUAGUAUACAAGUAGCUCCAUAUCUAUUAUUCUAGUAUACAAGUCGCUUUGUAGGGAGAGAGCCCAGUCAGCGACACAGAAAUGGGAAAUGCACCCCACACACAAUACCCAAGUAAGAAACAGAGCGGGGGACAGGAUUUCGGUCUCGGGGAGAAAGCUUUUUCUUUUAUUUCGAGGCAGAAGAAGGAGACAGAGGUUAGAGAAUCUAUCGAAAGAGAAAGAGGUGAAUUAGCCGAAUCAGACAGACCUGUCGAUGAAACUAUAGAGUACGCAUUAACUGGUUUCUUUUAUUGAGUACGCAGCAUUAACUGGUUUCUUUUCUGGCUAAAAGGGGGAAAGCGGAAACCCUGUUUGGUCCAACUCCAGGAGGUUAACCCCACGCGGUCUUUGAGAAGGCGGAACGGGAAGCUAACCUAAGUGGUGGUCAGGACAAUCACAAUCUCGUCCCUGGUUCAGAGGCCAGGCGCCCGCCUACGCGGACAGGAGUCGAUCGAUUGAGGGCUUGGAACUUGGAAGCCAAGUCAGCACUGGGACAACAAAGGCGGUAGAGCGCUAGCGUAGGGUCGGCAGUAAUUGCGGUUUACCCCUCAAUCUGUAGGGAAUAAGUACUUGGCAGGUACCGAACCCCGGAAGAAAUAAUCCCAUCCAUUCGAAUUCUAACGCCGAACCAAUCUCUACGCUACGAGAAGGAGCUACAGCCUACUUAACCGACACAAGCUUCAGAGCAUAAAAACGGAAAGAAUACUUAUGAGAGAAGAGAACAACCCUCGCAGAUUGAUGACAAACAAAGACAAAGGAAAGGGACAAGGCACAACACAAGACAAGGAAAUGUCCCAACAACAAAGGAAAGGGGCAAGGCAAAAGGAAAUGUCUCAUCAACAAAGAGAAAGAAGGUUAGCCUCAGAAAAGAGAGUGGAUUCAAGACUUAUGAAUAGUAUCAAUCAGUUCAAGUUCCAUUCUGCAUUCCGGUUUCACUUGUGCGUAAGAGAAAGGAGUUGUUGAAGGUAAGCUAGUUUCUUUUGUAUAAGAUAAGUAAUUAGAGAGAUAGAUUUCACUAGGUACUACUGUCUUACGAAAUAGAUUAAGCGGGUAAUCAGAAUAACUUAGAUGCGAUGUGCAUUGUAUUCCAUUCUUCAAGCAACAGGUAUAUCCCUAUCAGCAACAUCAAUCUGGGUUUACAGUGGUGUUGUCGGUUAAUUAAUCUCAGUUCGACUUUCAUCUUACACGGAAGCGGAAGAGAAUGACCACGCCACAUGUUAGGCAAAAAGUGUCAGGAUAUCGAGCAAGCUAGAAGGCAAAUCUAGGGCUGAUUAACAUUCUAUCAGUAAACGAUCUAUCCCUACAUUUAGAGUCGGAAGUAGUAGGGAGUCGUAUAAGAGCAGAGAAUCAGUACAAGUCCUAUGGAUCUGGUGUUCUGUAAGUCUCUCUUAUUGUUAUCUUUCCUUUCUAUUGGCGCAUAUUGUCUGAGGGAAGUCCCUUGCUAGGCCAAAGAAACUAUUCCUUCCCGAGUAGGUUGUUGCUGUUCAGAUAAGAAUCACUAUCAUCAGACGGGGAUACUGGGAUGCUAACGCUUAUUGGAGUUUUUGGUCGGUAACUAUAUUGUCUGAAGAAACGAAAGAUUCAAUCCAAGUUUGACUUGCCCUCACGGGAAGGGAGUGAGUUUAGAGUGUCAAUUCCUAUUAGAUAGACGGGUGAGAUAUAUUCUUGUGUUUCCGUUUCCAUUGAAGGAGGUGAUUGGCGCUUUACCUCGUGGAGAGGAGGAGAUAGGUGAAGUGAAAGUUCCAGUCUGGUUUUGGGGAGUUACGUGGGCAGUCAGGUAUUCGAUCUAUAGGAGUCUACUUCUGGUCCUAGUGAAUCUGUCUUUGUUGGUUGGUUGGACACUCAAUUGCCUGUCCUAGUUCGAGGUCAGUUAUGAAAGUGUAGUUUCAGUGAGAAGGUAGUAAAGAAACAGUACUCUAGCAAGAAAGCAGAAUAGAAGUAGUGACUAUUGAAUACCUUCACUCAGGCCUAAUAUAUAAUGAAAGCUUGAGUGGAGGUCGGCAAGGGGACAACUAAUCUGGAUAAACCGGAGGGGGGUGUUUCUUUUCGCAGCUAAGGGCAUUUAGUAGAAAAGGUGUUCUUUUUCACAGCAUAACUUCAAAGGUGUUCAUUUUCACAGCAUCGGGCAUUUAGGAUAUUCAGCCGUAACUAUGGGACAAGUAACCUAAAGUAACGAGUACCUUUCGAGUACCUUAAGGAGCAAUAACAGAAUGUGAUAGAAUUCCAUAUGUACUAGAAAUAGCGAUAAGAAGAAAUAGUCAACUACUUGAAACUAUCACUCCCGGCUCAUCUAACUUCAUUUCUUUUAUACCGGAAUUAGUAUACGCUUUUGUCUCUGACUCUCGAAUCCAAUUAUGACUUUCUGAAAAGACGACUAAUAGUCAUUAAACUACUCCUAAUUAGAGCUGUUAGGGGGAAUAAUAGAGAAUAUCCUACUUUAUGCGCGGGGAAUAAAAGAAUAUCCUCCUUGCUUUGGCUUAUGAGGGGUGAGUUCAAAGAUACUGUAAGGAUGAAACCCAGAAGGGCACUUUCUAAACCAUUAGCAGCUGACCUCUUUGACUUUAGCCAACACCUAAUUCUUUACCUGAACUAGACACUCCUUGCCCAGGCUCUACUCCGGAUCCUUAAGCUUGUUAGUGGACCUCGCCUCAAAGUUAGUAAGAUAGUAUGUCCGCCCUUAGUCUGCCCUGAACCCAGCUUCUGUAUCAAAGCCCUCUUUCUAUUAGUUUAGUAGUCAAUUCCAUUCUAUAGUUUCCUUUCCUCGAACAGAACCGUUUACCGCUGAUGAUCCUGUUCUGCUUACUUUAGCCUCUGAUACUGCUGCCGAUCCUACUCCUGAUCUAGCAUCUGAAACUGCUCUUGAAACUGGAACUGGAUUGGAGACUUUUGACUUCUUAUCCUCUAUCUACUUUUACACUGAAUCACUUAAUCCAGCAUCUGAUCAUAAUUCUGAUACUGCUUAUUCUGUUACUUCAGCACCUGUCACACGAAACUCAUUCUGAUUCCUAAACUGCUCUUUCAACACUCUAAACUCAGGUACCAGAUUGGAUAUAUAACUCAUAAAGAUAAGUACUAGCACCCGAAACAAUACUGGAAAUGAAACUUGAUACUGGACCUCGACCUGGCAAUACUUAGUUUAGUGCUGAAGUCAACAAAGAAUGAAAGUUGUACUGUUCUUGUUCUAAAGGGUUUUAUUAAAGAGGAAAGAAACUACCGGUUCUCUCAAGUAGGAAAGUUCGAAUUGAACUCCAAGGUCAGAAAUCAGAGAUAGUUAUUCUAGAAGCAAGUAAUAAUUAAGGAUGAACACUAGGCUAGUGUUCGUCUACCUGCCUAUAUAAAGAGAAGAACCAAGCUCUCCACUAGUUCAUAGGGAAUUCCUCACUAAAAGGUAAAGGUCGGAAUUGACAAAUCAAAGGGAAUGCUUUAUCAAUUCAUUUCCAGUUGUACCUGUCGCAAAUUAGAACUUGCGUAGAUAAUGCUCUUCAUUCCUCUGUCCCAUUUCUAUAUAUACAUAUAUAAUCAUAGUGUUGAGUUGGCUAAAAUAGAGAUGAAGUAAACAUCAUAUACACAUGGAAUCAUUGCUAGAUCUAAUCCCGUAUUGGUUCGAUAAAUAGUGAGCCUAAUAAUGGUCUUUUCAAUAAACAAAUGGGAAACUUCAGAUUAAUAUGCUCUGGAAUGUUGGAAAUUAGGGAAUGUCCACAAUACUUAUAUAAGAUCCCCAAUUAGAGUAGGGAGGUAUUUCUUAGGUUCAGUAAUGAGAGCUUGACAGAAGAAUGGAAUAAGUUUCCAAUAAUUUCAGAUAGAGAUCAUUUCAUUGAAAUUUGGUAGAAAGAUAGAAAUUGGUAGAACCCUUGCCUUGAGAAACGAAAGAGAUGCUGUGUCUGAAUCACUAACUCUUAUGAAUUAUAUGUACCCCCGCGGGAUUCAUUUUGAUUACCUGUAGAGAUAUGCAAGAACAAACCUUUUUAUUGGAAACAUUCCUCUAAGAAAUCCCCCUGGAACCCUUAUUGUCAAUGUAAUAUAAAGAUAGUAAAUGGAAUCUACAGAUCUCAUUGUGAUCAAUCAACAUAUUGAAAAGUCAAGUAUUUACUACCAUUCCAAAUUAUACCAUAACAGAAUUGCUGUCUUUACCCGCGCGCACUAUAAUAUCAGAUUGGGUAGUAGGGGGAAAAGAGAAUAAUUGAGAAGGAUUGGUCCAGAGGGAAACUAGGUCUUAGGAGUGAAAGAGUCUUUUUUUUGUUACUGCCGCGCUACUGACUAUGUUGCUUGGCCCCCCAUUUAUUCUCAUUCUCAUUCUGAUCACACUUACCGCAACAAGCUGAGGGCAGCAUCUCUUCUCUUUACUACCUUCUCUGUGACCUCUGUCUCCUCUACCUCUGCUGGCUACUGUCAUGAGGCUCUGUUGCUUGGCCCCCCACUUUUCUUUACGUACUAUUAUGCUUACUAUACCAGCUGAUGUAGCAUUAUAGACUAGACUGUAUUGUGACUUUUGCUACCAUCAGGAGAAAUCGAACCCAUUCCCCUGUUCCACAUUAUGAUAUAUAUAUAUAUAACCCAUACCUCUGUUCCACAUUAAUAGAGAAUCAUCAUAUAAGAAAUCAUAAGAAUAUAGAAUAUAAGGUGAGUUUUCAAUAAUGAAUAUGGGGUUUUUCUAAGUUAACGUCUUUCUUCGGUAGCUGGUUCGGGGUAAAUAAUGGUAAAUACGAAUUCACUGUAUUUCUGACCGGGAACAGGACCUAUAAUAAGAAUAUUGAUUUGAUUGGGACGAGAACUCUGAGAAGAAAUCAUUUCCUAUCUGUUCUUUCCACUCAGGAGAAAUACGAUCAAUCAGGGGGGGGAAGAGUCGGGUAAUAAGAGAACAGCCCAUACAUUCAAAGCCCCGUUUUUACCAUUAGCAAGAACUUGUUUCAGUUGAGCUUAUCAUAAGGGAUUCGAACUACAGCUUCAAUCAAAUACAGUAUAAGGAAGCACUGCUUGCGUAACUUCAAUAUCAACUAUUAGCGAAAUAGCAAUUGGCACAUAGAAUUCAUUCGUCCACCCACUUCCUUGCUUCUCGCAGAUAUAACCCUGCAGCGCAUAAAUAGGAUAUGCAUUUUCUAUAGAUGCCCCAGUUAUGACAUAUAUCAUCAUCGAUACAGAAAUGGAUCGAGUCAUCUCUUUAUCGAUACAGAAAUAGAUCGCUUACUUUACCCAAGCUCAAAAGAAAGUAUUUUGCAUGUCAAUCAUUGAUCCCGGAAUUUCUACCUGAAAUCAGAUAGGUCGCUAGUAUUGUUCCCUAUACACGAGUCUGUCAUUGUACUGGAAUAUAGGACGAAUACCAGCAACAGAUAGAAGUCUCAAUAAAGAAGUAAAAGCUUUCAAAUGCUCUUUCUUUAUACACGAGAGGAAGAUUCAUUCUCAUUUUGGAUUGAUAUAAAUAAGGAUAAUAAUAAUAGAUCAAUUCUAGUUGAUGAUUCAUGUUUAUAGGGGUAUAGUUCUUUAUUCAUGUUGAUAGGGGAAUUCCGUAACCCCCAAAUUCAGAGCGAGUUCUUUCAUUACUCAGAAGAAAAUAACAACCACUUCCAAAUAGCGAAACAUAUUCUCUUUAUCGAUAAAUGCUAACAUUCAUAUAGAGAUCAUAUUCAUUGUGUGCUUGCCUUGACUAAUUGUAUCCUUUCCUUGUUUAUUCCGGUAGAGUUAGAUUUAUAUGCCUUGCCGGGUACUUAGCUUAGAGUUCGCUUCUUUUAUAUGCCUUGCCGGGUACUCCUUUUCUCAUUUCGUCCAAUAGCAAUAGUUCUUCAAAUUCUAUCUAUGAAUCUAACGUUUUUCUCUGUAUGAAUCCAAAUUGAGGAGAUUGCCUAGUAUUCCACCAAUUUGUAACCCAAGGCAAGGUUCCAGACAUUUAUGAAAUUCGAAAGAUACCCCCACCAGGGCAAAAUGACUAUAGAUGCUAUAUAUGGGAGAGAGGCCGAUGCUUUCUUCCUUUUGCACUUGAUUCUGUUACUGAAGCAGCUCUUCAUUCGUUGACUCUAUCAGAUCUUAUAUUUCUUUGAAGCACUAGUUGUAUAACUGAUAUUUCUUGGAAGCAUUAGUAGUAUAAUAAAAGGGGUAUUGACCUAUGGUUCCUUGUACAAUAAUGAAUAGUAUAAGACCUAUGGUUGGUUCCUUGUACUAGAAUUCUCAUAGUAUAAGACCUAUGGUUGGUUCCUUUACUAGGAUGAACUCUGGUUCGGUUCCUUUACUAAGUAUAAUCAUUCUCUUUUUGGAUUUAGAAGGAAUAUAGACAUAGAAUAAGAGUUAGUCCUAUUCGGAUGAAAAUGAGAAAUAGGAAAUUAUGAUUCUUCCAGAUAUAUCAAUUGGGCUAAUUCGAAGAUAUUGAACUCGCACUCUGUAUAGGAUUACUUUCAAAGAGAUCAUAAGCGGGAGAAGCAGCUGGAUAAGAAUAGGCUCAAAUAGGUGGCAGCGCUAAAGCAUAUUUCUUCACAGGUCCAAGUCCAGUUCUUGGAUCAGACUAAGUUGACAGAUCUUCUGCUUUAUCAAUAGAAUCCGAAGUCAGAGUUCAGUCGACGAGAUCAGAAGCUUGGCUUUAGGAAGGUUGCAAGUAUAGUAUAGAAACCACCGGUAAAGAAUAUGGAUCAAGAUAUUCAGGCUGGAUCUGGUGGUGCGGUAAGCACGGGACAAUCAGUUUCAUCUACCAUAGAAGCCUAUUUCUAAUGCCUACGGAGCGGUAACGUCAUUUAUACUCUGCCUCGAGUAUAGGGUUCGGGGAAGCUGUGUACUCACUAACAUCUAUAUACCAUAUGCUUGAUAAGAUAGAUACACCAUUCUGACUUGAUAGUUUAGUUACAACUUCUUUUAGGGAUGCUACUUUACUCAUAGGGAGAUUCUUAUACUUAACACCUUCAUGUGAAGUGAGAAAGUUUCGCUGGUUUUUCACCUUAUUCUCCUAAGCAAAUAGAAAGAAAUGUUACUAUAUAAUAAUUCCAUACUACAUUUCUGAAUUCAAAACAGUAGUGCCGGGCAUCUCGACCAGUUUACCGUGCCUCGAUGAAUGAGUUAUGUUGGGUAAAGAAUGCGCUCAACUACCUGAAAAAUGAGUGAAGGAAGAAACAAACUGUUAUUGGGGACCGAACCCUUCGAUGCGCGUCCGGCGUACUACCUUCGUUGCAUGUGCGAUGGACCACCACGUUGUCCUUUGUUUCGCCCGAGCAAUGACAUGACCGAACCGAGGUACAAUGAUCCCCGGAGCCCUUUCUUUGUUUAUACCAUUGGAUGUCGUCCGCCCCUGUAGUCCUAAGCCCGAAGAAUCAAUGUAGUUUCUCCCGACGAAUUACCGACCUGACCUAUGAAUUAAUUACCGAGGUACUAGCUUCGUUGCCUGUGGACCAUUGAUACACGACCAACCCAUGAAUGAGUGAUGGAAUUGCGUCCCGGGGUCCGCUCACAGACUUAUUGAUUGUACUUUAAGGCGGAGCUAUUUUAUAAUAAGACCAAGUUCACUACCCUUUAUUACAGAACGAAAACACAUUCCAAUAUAUGAGAAUUUAUGGUCCCAUGGUAGCUCUAGGGGAGGUGUGUUAUUGGUUCAAAAGUGUGUUUCGGGGGACCUGGCAUCAAAGCAAGAAUACCAUCGGCACCACAGAAACUAUAUUAUCUUAUAGGAAACUAUAUUAUCUUAUAAGAAUCUCAUUGGCACUGCCCAUGGAUAGUAUGGAUUUUGGUUGUUCUUUUCUAUUAAUAGAAGCCAUAAUAUGGUUUGGUGGUUUCUUUCUUUAUUCAAUUGGGGUUGAUCUGAGUUCGCCCUACCGCAUGUUUAUUACUCUAGUGGUAUGGUAUAGCUUCAUUCUCACUGCCAAGCUAGAGAUUCCUUAUAGCUUUUUGGAUUCCGCGUAUACUGGGGGAUUCUUUUUAUACUGAACUGAGUCGACGAAGACAUCAGCAGCAAUGACUAAUACAGUUUCUUAUUGCAGUUGAGUUUGUAUACGUUGUUUGGUGUCUGCGGGAUAGGUAUAUAAGAUUUCCUGAAAGGGGGGGCGGGCUACCUUAUGUGUUUCAUCCCUUUUCUCAUGGGGUUGAUUCCCACUAGUCGUGUAGCAGUGAAACUCUUGUUAACGGUAGGCUUGAAGCACCUUAUUAUAAUCAAAAGUGCUAGAAGCCCCCCCGCUNNNNNNNNNNNNNNNNNNNNNNNNNNNNNNNNNNNNNNNNNNNNNNNNNNNNNNNNNNNNNNNNNNNNNNNNNNNNNNNNNNNNNNNNNNNNNNNNNNNNNNNNNNNNNNNNNNNNNNNNNNNNNNNNNNNNNNNNNNNNNNNNNNNNNNNNNNNNNNNNNNNNNNNNNNNNNNNNNNNNNNNNNNNNNNNNNNNNNNNNNNNNNNNNNNNNNNNNNNNNNNNNNNNNNNNNNNNNNNNNNNNNNNNNNNNNNNNNNNNNNNNNNNNNNNNNNNNNNNNNNNNNNNNNNNNNNNNNNNNNNNNNNNNNNNNNNNNNNNNNNNNNNNNNNNNNNNNNNNNNNNNNNNNNNNNNNNNNNNNNNNNNNNNNNNNNNNNNNNNNNNNNNNNNNNNNNNNNNNNNNNNNNNNNNNNNNNNNNNNNNNNNNNNNNNNNNNNNNNNNNNNNNNNNNNNNNNNNNNNNNNNNNNNNNNNNNNNNNNNNNNNNNNNNNNNNNNNNNNNNNNNNNNNNNNNNNNNNNNNNNNNNNNNNNNNNNNNNNNNNNNNNNNNNNNNNNNNNNNNNNNNNNNNNNNNNNNNNNNNNNNNCUAGUGGGUAGUUAGUUAUGAGCAAGUGCAGUUAUGAUCUUUUGCUUAUUCUAAUCCUGAUGAAUAUCCUUAUUCAUAUCUUUCUCUUUCAACUCCAGCAUUUGAAGAACCGAUUGCGACUUACUUACUGGAGAAACCUUCGGAUCCAGGAAUGGAACCCAAAGAGCCAAGUAACUACUAAUGACCAAGCAACGGGACAAACAACUGCUCCUCCUCUGAUUCUGUAUUUGCAGUGGAAUUAUGAUUAUGACUAGUUUCCUUUUUGCUACUUAUUUCUUAGUGUUUUAUUCAGAGUUUAUAGAGCCCAUGGUAGGCGAGAUGAGGGCAAUUCCAACUUUAGGGUUCAAUUAUUCACUGGCAUUGCAUCUGAAGUUGCUGGUUCAGAGGAUCUUCUUGCCAUCACUGCCGUAAGCACAGAAUGAGAUUGAACUGAUGCUGACAUACGCUGAAGAAAGGAUAGGCAUGGUAGAUCUUUGUAACCAAGGAUGCGAGAUCGGUAUACAGUUGCCCCUAGCCCAAGGUGCUUUUAACCAACCGGCGUGCUCUUAGUGUGAAUAGAAUAUGUUACUCUCUUUCCCCCUCUUGCUAACAACUAAAGAAGAGGAUUGAGCUAGGAAGAUAGAAAACUCAAGAAGAGGAUUGAGCUAGGAAGUCUGCUGAGCUAUAAAGCACGAAUCAAACUAGCGCAUUAGAGUAUUAGAUAAGAUAAGGUACGAUGUUGCUUGGCGGAGACUUUACUUUGAGUAGAAAGAAUUCAAUGAAAUCUAGCAUAGUGUAUAGAAAGGGUAGGUCAUAUUCCUAGGCUUACCCGAGAUCUGUAUCAGAGGCAUAAGAGCAAUAUCCGGAGUCGGAGAUAGAAUAUGAAGUUGUUGUUCUUGUGUUGUCUCCAGUUUAAAGAGAAUCCCCUGCUGAAAGGUCAAGUUCCAUUACUGGUUUUGGCAAAUUGGCUAAUGCUAGUUCUGGCGCUAACUGAGCUCACCCUGAAGAUAAGAGUAUGAAGUGAUGCAAGCAAGGCAUGAACUAAAGUACUUAAGUCUAGUAUAAGGUGAGGCAAUCAAGUAACCUCAAAGCUUCGAAAGUGCGUUAGUUAGUUGUGCUGGAGCUUAUUGUGCUUGGGUGUGUUAGAGGGAGUUCGACAAGUGCUAGCGUGAGUUGAGUGAAGUUGGAAUCGCCUGAGUGCUACGUGAGUCUUUAAGCACAGCUUAGUUAGUUUAUUCAAUUGUGUCAGGUGAUGUCAGUUAGGUUAUUCUAUUAUAUCAGUCAGUGGAUGUCAAUUAGGUUAUUCUCUUCCAUUAUAUCCGUUGAUGUCAAUUAGGUGUGAUUUUCUUGAUUCUCUAAUAUCCGUUGAUGUGCAUAUUUGAUUACUUUACUGUUAUUUCACACUGGCGUUAGUGAGUUUGCCGGAACAAUAAACAUGCUAACGCUUUAGUCACUCGCUAACAGCGCAAGCCGUGUUACUUGUUCUAAGCUUGCUGAAAGCAAUGCUCCAUUUUUGGAACUCAAUUCUAUAAGUGCUGUGCAUCACUAAAUUCCAUUAUCUGCCUUUUGACUUUAGCUUAGCUUCUUUCUAUGAUUACACUGCCUUUGCGACUGAUAUAAGUAUGGGAGCUGACUUUAGCCUAAGUAUUCUUUAUUAUUGAUACAACAACACUCGAACAGCAGCAACCCUGAGAGAAAGUUAUCCAAAUGUUGAGCGGAAUGCCUUGAACAGAGACCAGAGUCUUUCAGCACCUUGAGAAGACAGAAACGGAGACCCUAGCCUUUUGUUAGUGAGUUCGAGCAAGCAAACAGAUUAGCGGAACAGGUGGCCUCUAUUCUGACUUUAGGGAACCCAGGGCCAUAAGUAGUUGUCUCUACAGAUCUAUUCUGACUUUAGGGAACCCAGGGCCAUAAGUAGUUGUCCUAGAGAUCCAUUUAAGCACUUAAGAUUUGAUGCGAGUCACAUUCAUCAAUUAUAUACUACUAUGCUAAAGAGAGAACGAGCAAACUAAGAGACUUGUUGAAAUAUGGUACUUAGCGCUGUAACCCCUUCUUUCUCUAACACCCUUAUCGCCGUUGAACAGAGGUGAAACGUUGCUAAUGUAACAUAUUCUGUCCUGCAAGAAAGCGUGCUGAUAUUCAUGAUUAAAGCAAUGCGAUGUUUGGUUACAUUGUUCUAUAUGUGUGUUAGUGUUAGCUCAAUUCUGUUCAAUGAUUUUGCCCGAGCUACAGCGGCACGGAAUUCAUGCUUGGACCUCUCUCGUAUUCAAUGAGCUUAGAGCGCGCAUUAUGUUGUUGGGCCAUAAUCAAGCUAUACUGGGCGAGAACAUAUAGUCUGGUUAUCCACAUUAAGUAAGUAGGUCCGCUCACUUGAUACAACACCGCAACACUCGCACUGGUUCUUCUCUUCUUCCAUAUAUAAUUAUCUUGGCAAAGCUACAGUUCUUUCUUUGAUAGUUAACCGACUUGAAAAGAGCUUCUUGAUAUUAGAUUAUUCCCUACUGCAAACACAGACAACAGAGUCAAGAAAGAGAUGCUUCACACGAGCACCCAAAGAGAGAGACGAGACUUUAGUCCUUAGCGCUUCAUGAGGGUAUUUUGUUACUUCUUUCAAUUAUGUGUGCGACUAUGGAGCGGGUCCGUUAUCGAGUGUAUCUUCCGCGCGAGUUGUGUGUUCACUGCGCCCUUACUUGCAUGUUAUGUUUACUUAACAGCUUCCUGCUAGUCCGUAUUAUUGCACCAUAGCUUGUUGAAUCGAGUGCUAAACAGAAAGUCACAACACUGCGAAACUAACUUAACAGAACAGAAAAGAAUCUAGCUUCACUUAUAUAGAGAGAGAAGAGAGGAUUGAUGUCGGCACAACUAACUAACAGUAGCUCGCUAAUGCCAUUGCUUAUAUAUUCCCUCUUGUUUGCUGGUUCCACUCAUAUCACUUGUUUAUUACUUGUUUGCUGGUUCCACUCAUAUCACUUGUUUACUUGUUCUACUCAUUUCAAAGUCAUAAUAGUAGCAUAUUCUAUAAGGUAUGAACUUCAUAGUAGCAUAUUCUAUAGGGUGGUAUGAACUUCCCUGCGGACUGCUGACUUUAAUAAGCUAGCGCAGCGCAAUGUUACUUAUAUUCUUUUCAAAGAGCUCACUAUAGCCAAUAAAUUCGCGAGUGAAAGUGUUGGUGAAGAGAGAUUAUUUCCAUGUGCUCCGCCCUCUUUAGCCUUAAUUGAUAUGGAGGUACUAACAACUCGGAGUCGGACAACCUCUCUUAUGAUUGAUUGAUUACCUGCGCAGGGUCAGUGUGCUCAUCCCUUCCAUUCUCAAGUCAAGUUCCAAAGUCAAGUAUGGAGAACUAGUAACGGCUUCUUUGUUUAGUUCCAGAAGCAACAAGCCUAUAGAGAUAGCUUUGCUAGUUAAGGUCGCUAGUCUUCAUCGGCUAAGGUCAGUUCUUUUACUUGCUUGCGCUAAAGGGUCAAUGAGCUCCCCCAUUCCUUAUUUCAAAAGAUAGAGAUUCCAUUGAUUCACUUUAAGUAUAGGUCGGGCAAUCAGGAUCUUCAGUUGCGCAGAAUCCGAAGUAUCAAGUGAAGUCAGCAGCAAGCAUGGAAGAGAGGCACCCCGCAACCAUUGAAUAGAAGGCACCCCGUUCCGCUCGCCUUAGCACUGAGACUUCUACUUUUGACCUUAAUUGUUGAAAAGACGAGGCGAGUAGAGUCGACUCGAUCAUAAGCUUGAUCUUCAGCAGGAUAAUAGUAUGGAUCAGGAGUAGCUUGUAUCUAAGUCAGAACUUCCAGUUGAGUUUUCGUCUUCAAGUAGAGUGGAAUCGUACUAAGAAUCAAAAGCUGUAUCCAUAUCUUGAGUAGGAAGGCUAGAUUCAUUACUUAAAGCACAGGAGCUCGCAAGUCUGGUUUUGGGGUCCAGGCCCAGCUAGAACUAAUGCGUAUGUUCAAUUUCAAUGAAGAAGUUGCGCUACGCUAAUGGGAAGGGAUGAUUAGGCACGCAAAGCAAAGGUAAAGCUAAGCACUAAAAGAGAAAGCCAAUCACCGACAACCUAGACUCGUACAAAACUAGAAUACCCUUAACAUAAAGCAAGCCAAGCACCUAUACUAUACUAUACUUCAAGAAUGACUAUCCCCGGCAGAAGAUCUUGUGGCUUAUUUGAUGUCUUCCCUUGCUGAAAAACAGAACCUUGCUUCAUCUCUGAAUCCGCUACGUGGACAUGAGAAAAGAGCUUCCCGUUACUAUGACAUGAGAACUCCACUCGUGUAUGACAGUCAAGAAAGAAGCCCUAUAUCGUUAGCGGUUGCGGAAGCACUUGUGAACGGAACAGGUUAAGGGCGAAAUAAGCUUUUCCAGAGUAUAAGCAGAGGUGUUGUUGAGUUAAGAAAGACUAAGUGUGUUAGGAGUGGAGCGGAUAUAGCGUGAGGUAGCUGCCCGGAGCAAGUCCUUUUUCGUCGUAUCAGCAUUAGUUAGUUCACUUGCACUCUCUGCAAUAAGCUUUAGGCGCACAAAAAGAAAAGAACUGAUCUUGUUGAUGAUUUUCUAUGGAUUUGUUAUUAAUACCGGGCUCAUUUAUAUGGAUUUGUUAUUAAUACCGGGCUAACGCCAUGACGAAAGCAGGAGCAGACCCGCUUGCUGCAGAUGAUCCGGAUCUUAUAGAAUCCACUCACACUGGCAGUUCUUCAUUGCAUUUCAGAUCUAUCUUAUCUUGCACUUGCUAUAGAGGCGAGUAAAGAAGGAAACAGUUUCCGUAGAACAAGCAACUGCGUUAGGCAGAGUCUUAUAUCUUGACUCUUGAACUCCUACUAGCAACAGCUUAUGAGCAAGCAACAGCAAAUGAGCACAGCGAUUUGGUGCCUAUCCAAUAUUCUUUCUUUAUGGAUUGAUUUCUUUAUUCACAAAUUAUAUCAUAUAUGCGAUCUAUAUUCCAUUCCACAAGUCUAAGUGCUUAACGUAGUUUCCGCUCCGCUAACACUUACUGGAGUUUCAGAGGGUAAUCUUAGUUUGAGUUUCAUAGGGUAAUCUUAGUCAUUUCUAUACAAUAAGGUGAAGUUCAUAAGCGCUAACGGAGAGGGCAAAGUGUUCGAGUUUCGAAGACAGAUUUCUCUAUGUUUAAGCUCUGUUCAAGGUUGCUCAUGGCAAAUACACCAUGGAAAGUAUCUAUAAGUUGUAUAAAUUCAUUGACGCCUAACAUCUUAUUCCCUCGCUGAUUCAUUAAUUCAAUCUCAUGCGCAUAUUCUAUGAUAAAGUAACAAUAUGAGAAAUUCAAAAACGAACUCCUUACUGCUUCCUCUAAAGAAUAGAGGAUAGUUUACUUCUUAUAUCAUUGUGUAACUGGACUGCUGGCACAAACUAACUUCUGACUUUAGUUACGGAAUGGAAUAAUGCUUAUUAACUUUAGGAUUGUGAAUUGAGUGCACCGCCGAAAAGAAUAUGAAAUACAACUCAUAUAUACUCUACAAUACAAUAUAUACGAGACUCUAUGAAUUACGGACCAUGUCCACCCCUUAUUAGACUGGAUUUGAGACUGGAAUAUGCAUCUUAGAGCUGAUAGGGACAGUGAGCUACGCAAUCUUAGAGCUUAUAGGGACAGUGAGCUACGUUGAGCUACGCAAUCUUAGAGCUUAUAGGGACAGACCGUGAUAACAAUAAGGAUUUACUUAGUGCUCCGUGGCGUGGUAAGUAUUUCUUUGAAAAAAUCUAUUCGGCUUCUGCUUAUGAUCCUGCUUGAAUCAAACUUGCUUUAACAGGAAUUCUCUUAUAAUACAAGCACACGACUAAGAGAGAAUCUAUGCUUAUUAUCUGUUGAGAGAAUCUAUGCUUAUUAUCUGUUCUUUUUUGUGCUAAUUCAAGUGCAAGAUGGAAGACCUAUUCUAUAGACUAGUUGGCAGCUUACUACCCGCUUCGGUGGGGCAAGAGAGUGAGUCCCAGGUCAUAAGUCAUAGUUCCAGUCCCUUUUUAUUGAAAGUGUACAGUUACUAUCUAGCUCCAUUAUCCGUUAUGGUCUGAUACUGAGGAAAAAGGGUGCAACCACUGCAUUUUGGGGUACUAGCAAAAGGAGUCGAAGCCGAUCAUAGUCAAGUGCUUACCCAAGAAGGAAGUUCGCUUUAGGGGGACGGAGCGCUAGUAGGUUUAAAUGCAAUUCGGUCAUACUGGAAGCAGAUCCCAGAUCUCAAACAGUCAUUUGAUGUAUAAAUGCACGAGAACGUUCGGUUGGGUACCCAAAAUCUCAUAAGUGGGGGCUUAGACUCAUAAGUCGCUGUAAUUCCUCUACCUAACCACUCAUGCUUCUUUACAGCUUGCCUUCUUUCCUUGCCUUGGCGGUUUUUGCUAUAGGAAUGCAUUCUGCUAAUCAUUCAUUGGUCUCUAGUCUUUCCUCAGGCCCUGAGGAAUCCCAAUCUGAAAGCUCCGUAUAUGAAAGAUAAGAAUAGGCUCCUUCCUUUUUGAUUGCUGGCACCUUUUUUAGAGGACUGCCUUGACAUCGAGGUAUUAGUUCCAACCUUUUCUAGAGGACUGCCUUGACAUCGAGGUAUGAGUUCCCAUAAUCCCGUCUCCUGUCAACAGGUGGCAACGAGAAAAGCCCAUGCACUGAACCAAAGAGUUGUCCAAAAGAGAAAACAAUAGACGCGCCUCUUGUCUUGAAUAAGCAGGAGUAGCAAGAGAAUGAAUGAGCUCUUUAUUCCUUAUUCCACCUGUUGCCUAAAUGACUAAUGAAAGAGCGGCUCUGCAUUAACCCUAUCCCAGAAGUCCGAGUAGUUAAGUUCGUUCAUAAGCUUCGAAUUCUGAGGUAAAUGUGAGAGAGAGCCCAUACAGGGGUAUCUUCAAUAAAUCCGUUUGCUUACUUUAUUAUCUCAUAUGUUUGAUCUUCGAAUCCAUAUAUGAAUAAGCCCCGUUACUCCAUAUGCUUUCCCCUCCUUGCUUCAAGUGCAUGGUUUUAGACUAGGACUCGGUAAGCCAUUGGGCAUUCCUUUCUGCUCUGAUCAUCGGGGUGGAAAUUCAUUCCUUGAUCACCUGCGCCCCACUUCGGACUGACUUUUUGAUAAGACCAUUUUAGGCACCUUAUUCCCCCCAACAAAAUGGCGUGGCUGCUUCUUUCUUUGGAUUAUAAGCUUCUGGGAAUUAGAAGCUUCUGGCGCGUGAAGGGCUCUAAUACAACCAAACCAACCCCUGUAUUCUCUUGCUUUGUAUGAAACCAUAAGAUCCUUACAAUAGAAAAACGAAGUCAGUUCUUUUUCAUCAAUUACUAGGACAGGAAAGAAAUACCAAGCCACAAUUGCUUCUCUUCUGUCUCUGUAGGCAUUGAACGAGAACAUUCCCCCUUUGAUUCCUGCCAACUUUAUUAACCGCUGAUGAAGGAAGCCCAUAAUCUAAGUAAAGUCAUAACAAUCCGUUUAGUUACUAGGGGACUUAGACCGAAAAGAGGAUUGAUUGCCUGCUCAAAGAUAGAGAGUAUGGCAUUCACAGCUAUAAGCUAGCUAGUUAGGUAGGUGAAGCGGGAAAGAAUCGAGUCAAAAAACACUGUCACACUUAAGACCGAAUGAACAUGUAUAUGUUGGUGCCGGAGCUGUAGUGGUGCUAGGCUCUUCUAUUUCUUCUUUCCAGGAAAUCCACAUAGCUCCUUAUAAGUCUGGUGGACUGCUCUAUCUCGGGGUCCUUUGCUCGGGCUUUGUACCCGGGGGAGAUUUAGUAAUUCCUUAAUUGCUUCUUCAGUAUCGUGAGGAAAUGAGUUACUCUCUGUUGCCUCGGCUUUCUUCAAUCAAUAAGUAUAAGAAAAACUCAUGCUAUUGAUGCUGUGUCUCAUGGGGCAAGCUUGCUAAGAGAGAGCUUCCUCAAAAGAAAGGAGCAGCAAAAACUUCCUUCAACAAUAUGACUGGGUACGAAGCAGGUUGCUUGUUUGAGGCAAAUCUUUCCGUUGGGGUGGGGCGCGCCAAAGAGUCAUAUUGUUGUGCCUGCUUUUGCAGUCUGCUCCACUUAAAGUCAAGGAAAGGAAAGGGCGGAUAGAACCACUGUGCCCGAAGACUAUGUAGAAGCAAAGGAGCGACCACUUCGCGAGCCAUACCGAUAAAAGAGGCAGGCCGAGACAUGAUCAACUUAUGAUAAAAGAGGCAGGCCGAGACAUGAGAAACUUCUUCGGAUCCGUCUUUGCUCUCAAUUGGACCUUGUGCCAACAUAUGCGAUUCAUUCCCAUAAUUCGAAAAGAGCUUCCUCGGCUUUGUUGCUAGCUAUGACUCAAACGGGACAGGGCAAGAGGAUAGUGAGUUUUCAAGCAAUAACGGCAAGGAUAGUGAGUUUUCCAGCUAUAACCAUAAUAAGGCAGGCAGCAAGCUGUUAGUCUACGUUCUGCUAUACCAUGCGAGCUAGAUCAUGUCAAACAAGCCUUUAUUGCAAUUGAGUUGAGUCAAGUACUUUUGUCUAGCCUUCAAAUGCCGUAGAUGAGUUAUUAUUGAUUUUGUCUAGCCUUCAAAUGCCUGCCUAGAUGAGUUAUUAAAGGAAGCUGUAAGCAGUAAGCAAAGGUGCGCUGAACUCGCUAACGGAGUUUGUCCAGUAGAAGGUACAUCGUUUAGUAUAUUCUAUGUCAUCUUACACACUUAUAUGAAAAGUCAUGUUUCGCACUUGGAGUUGUAUAGUUGCAUUCAUUCCAUUCAGCCUAUUAUGAUUUGAUUACUUGACUCUCGCCUUACUGUAGUUGCUCAAGCAGUUUCAAGCUGGGUGCCAACAUCAAUUCUUCUGGGGUUACAAGCCCGAGGGUCAGAAUUCUUUAAUAGAGUCUAGGGUGCAGAUGCCGAUAGAAGUUAUUAAGGUUGGGAGUAGGCUUUCAGCACCUUCUGAUGCUGACUGCUUUCAUUGCACGACUACUCUACUACACCUCCGGGGCUCCUAUCUAUUCUCAUCUCACUCUGGCUCUUUUCUACCUUCAUUCGGCUCUCUUCUCUUCUUGCAACCAUUAAGAAGUCUGGGUCUGCUCUAACUACUGCCUUUCCUUACUAAGAAGAAAGUACUGGAUCCGCUCUAACUACAGCCUUUCCUUACUAAUCAUAAAGUACUGCUGGCAAAGAAGGGUGCCGAUGUAGCUCAGACAAAGUAGAAAGUAGUAGAGCUGAGUUCCGGGUUUCGUAAACAAUAACUUCUAUCGUAGCAGCACUUAUAAGAAAUACUUCCUAAGCAUUCUGAUCCUGCUCGGGAAACGGAAUCUGAUCCUUAUCCAGCUGAUUAUCUCGCCUACAAUUACAUAAUCAUUCCCCUUUUAUACUUAUAGACAAAAGCUACACUAGCACUUAAGUCUGUCUUGCUUGGCGCCGAAAACAGAACAGUAAAUGAAGCUCUCUCUUUUCCAUAUCAAAAAGUAGGAAUUGAGUGGUAAACAAAUCAUUCUUAAACGGAAACGGCACCCCUAGAUUGAUUUACCGCUUUAGAUCCCAAUCCAGCUCCGCGAUAUCCUCUAGCUUCCUUAUCCAUCUUAAGCUUCUUCUACGUAUCUUGCUUCGGCUGAAGAUGGGUGCCCACGGAGUUGUGUUAAGGCUUACGGACCUACUGACUUAAUGCGCAAAGCUGUGAGUCUAAUCAUAUAUAGAAUAGAAUGCGAAUGCCCACGUAGCAGUUAAGGGCCAAGCAACGACUAGACAAGUAACUACAGUAGAUGAGCCUAAUUCUGUUAAGAGAAAAGAUCCUGUUCGAGGUUAAGUAUCAAGUGGAGUUGAGAGUAGCUAGUCCUGUUUUCGUGCCUUUCCCCUUAGAGACAGGAAAGGGGGAGGAGCUGGAGUUAAUAGAUAUAAAGGCUUGGGUAUGGGAGAUACAGAUGUGGAUGCCGGGGUGCCAGACCGAUACGCUAGCUUACAACCCGCGCCCAGAGCUACCACUCUUUGACUUAUGUGUGUAAUUCCGUUUAGUAUGUUUUCAUUCUUUUAUACUACCGAGUGCUCUGAUACGUGCCUGGAGGGAGUAAUUCUUCCGCUUCUGUGUUGAAAUUCCCAAGUGCAAUUCUUAGUCAUGGAAAUAAUGGAUUGCUACCCUUGGAGAGCUAAUGGUACUGGACUGAUAGCGUACGGAAUCGUACCCACGUAUGAAGAAAAGGAUGCACUCUUCACUGCCGCUUCGGGGCACGAUUGAGAAAGCCGUCUGCAAAAACGAUCCUAUUAGAGCGAAUGGCUACGUCCGGCCGACUACCGGGGUACAUUAACUUAAUGAUUAUUCUAUUAACUUGUAGAAAUUAUUGAUUCUGUUCUCUUAUAUGAGCAUGUGUUUUGUUGCUUUUGGCAUAUUCUAAUAGAAUGUGUUUAAUGCAAACCACUUAUCAACAACCUCAGGUCUUACUCCUUACUGGAAUUCCCACUCUCUUGGCCUGACUACCCUACCUUAACUUGGCCUGACUACCCUACCUUAAAGUAUACCAUCGUCAACUAAACUAAGUAAUAGAAUCAUUGUAAUAUAAUAAUGAAUAGAGUCGUAUUGCUGGUGUUCAUGCCCUGGGCUUCAGGCUUGUUGUUACUGCUUUAAGUCUCACUUUACUACUUACUGGCAUCUAAAUCACAUAUGUUCACUUAAUAGCCUGCCCACCCUAUCUUUAGGCCUGUCCUCACUGGAAGAAAGUGGGAUAUCCCUAGCUGUUAGUUUGCCCUUCCUGUCCACCUGUAUGCCUUUCCUCCUAGGCUUACUUUCCCGGCUAUCAACCUGUAACUGCGGAAAAUGGGAAUGUAUCUACUAUACUGGAAGGGACGACCGGAGGACAUACAAGAAUAGGCCCCGGACUAGCAAUACCUUAAACUUGAAGCUAGCUCUCUCGGGUAGGAAAGUAAGAACUGCACCGGUGCGUCUCUAUCUAAUAACUCAACUCAAAACAGAUAAUUUCGCUAGUAAGGUGCUAAAAGCCUAGUGCUUCUCAAACUUAGCUACAGGCUUGAAAACUACAUCUGCAGCACUGAAUUCUUUAGUUGGGGCUGGGGUCCUUGUACUGCCUUAUCCACAUUCUGUGACUAAUGCCAAUGCCUAAGGCCAAUAAGACUCAAUCUGCUAACUAGCGAUUCCACUCCAUAAGUCAAAGGAUACGAGUGAGGUGAGGAGCGUUAUACUAAUGCAAAGGAGUGUCGGAGGUUGGGAAGCAGGCUUGUUGGCUGCGGUUAUACACUUAAAAGCUGCAGCGCUUGCCCAAGGCUAGAGAAUUGGGAUCAGCAGCAUCAGUCUUAAAAGCAUUAGUUAAAGAACCUAGUAAGACAAGGUAGACUGAAAGCAAGCAGUAGUAUAGUAGGCUUAAAGGAAGAAGUCAAAGACCUAUGCCUUACGUCGUUGCUUGGUAAAAGUCAAUAGAAACGAAUAUCGAAUUGAGCUAGGGAAACCCGCACCAAACUAUCUCUCUUUCUUCUCAACCCACCUCUCUUUUCCUUCAACCUAAACUAGUACUUAUAAUAGUUAGCCAAGCAAUAAGGAAGUUAACCACCACUACCACUAACAGGGCUCUAACUCAAAAGGCCAAGCAACUACUAACGACCAAGCUUAGGCGCGCCAAGUAACUACUAAUGUUACGCGGCAGCAAAUGACAGUCAUAACGGCCAAGCAACGGCGCAAGACGUUGUACGGCAGGAGCUAUAGCUAAGUUCUGUCUUCGUAGAUGCUCUCGGCGGUAGCAACAGGCAAGCAACUACUAACGACCGCCAAGACACUACUAACGUGGCGCGGCAGUGAGUUUUAGGCGGCGCAAGACGUUGGGCGGUAGCCAAGGUAAUAGAUAUGACAAGUUAUUACAAUAGAUGUUUUUGGGGCCGCUUCCUAUAAUUCCUCUUCGAGUUAUUACAAUAGAUGUUUUUGGGGCCGCUCCACCCAAUGCCCAAUGCCAACAAGACUCUCGAUAGAAACUGCCCCUGGGGGCAGGAAUGGAGUUCUCAAUAACAAGAAUCUGGCUACUGAUCCCAUUCUUACUAGUGCGGAUCUAAAAUAGAGGUAAUGCCCGGGACAACUCCCGUCUUCUAGCCUUGCUUUCCUGCCUCGCAAACAGAUAUUCAUGUCUUUGAAGUUCCCAGUUGAUUGUUUGAUUUAUUGUAUACUUACGCUUUAGUCUGUUUGUCGACAGUUCCAUCCCUAUUAGUAGGAGGGAAAGCCUAGGGGUUGUGUUUGCUCUACCGGACCACGCUUCAUUCCUGUAUGGAUUAGUAUUUGCUUCUAUUUUAUUAGCGAAACUAGGGCAAACAAGGUGCUGAAAGCCUGCCGCUACACUCUUUCGGUCCGGAUCCUGUGCUUUAAAUACAUACCUCUUUAGUCCCUACCUCUCUUUCAAGUAGUAAAUAAGGGCUUACUUUAAAUACCACUAAUAAUAGUUUACUACCCAACGGAUAAGUCAUAAUAGUUUACUAAGAUCUUUGUACUUAUUCGAAUCCUUCACCAAGAACAGAAAGAACGGAGAACCACUUAGCGCAUCAAAGUAUCCAAUUUCAGAAUCCUUAUUUGCUUGCGAGCGUAUAAGCACUAAAACACUAUGAACCUAUCCCUAUGACUUAGAAUCAAUCACUUCUAUCGGAGAAGCAGAAUAUCUAAUCCCCAAAGAACUACACUUUCCAUUUAUUCUUAUUAUAUGGUUUCGUUCUGUAUUUGUUUAUUGAUUGUUAAAUAGAAUUUCAUAGCACUAGGGAAGGGCGGACCAAUAGUAAUGAUAGUAAUAUUGAUAGAGGAAAGUGAGAAUCGAAGAGGGGAAAGCUGCCUGUCGGACCGGCGGUUCUUGCUAAGGUUAGCCUGUAUCAUUGACCCCUACCCCUAUUCUCUUGUAUUGCUCCUAGCCCUAUGUCUACUCGGGAUGGCGCCUAUAUAGAAUAGAACCUUUCCUGUCCGGAAACUCAAGGCAUCGCAGCUGACGCUGCCCUCGCAUCAAAGGCUUUACUUUAAGAUCUCCACCUCGAAUCAAAGGCUUUCUCUGGUAAAGUAAGGAAGCCAACACAGAUGUUAGGAAGAAAUGAACUCUAAGCUCUCUUCGUCGGAUUCACUGAAGUAUUUCCCAUCAAACUAAAGACCAAGCGUAUACUACUGGCUCGGCUCUUCUCUUUACUACCUUCUCUGUGACCUCUUACCUAUGGCAACUAUCGCUCUGGUUCUUUUCACUCAUUAGUGCCUUGUUUUCUUCCAAUACGAGGGUAGGCUUGGUUACAUACUGAGUUUACUGACUUUGUUGACUUACUUGGUAGGCUCACUUCUAACUCUCCCUCGCUACUUUCAAGGGGAUGGGUGAUACUACUGUCUCCGCUCUAAAAGCUGACCUCUGACUUGCAUCUUCACCUCUCUCCACGACAACACCCGGAGUUAUUACUACCUUAUAGGGGUGCUUUCUAAGGAGACUAUAAGGCAAGAGAAGUCAAAUCAACAAAAGGCUAUAAAAGGCAAUAAAAGCGGACUAUCCUCUCAGAGGGGCCUCCCAAUAAUGUACUACAGGAUCCGGGUAUCAAGUGAAAGCCCUGUUAGCCCUAGUUCGACUCUAUUGUUUCUAUGCGCUAUACCUUAUUAUUCUAAAUCGAAGUCCCUUAUACACCUAGAAAGAGUGAGAGGCAGGAUCAACAUAAUGAAGCUGAUGGAACAGGGCUUUAAGGCAGCAAGUGCGAGGCUAAGAUCUAUGGUAGGGAUGGAUGCAGUAGAUAAAGAGUUAGAAGCGCUAGGUCAAUGCCGAUACUAAUGAGUUAGAGCCUAUGCUCUCUUGAUGAAGUCUUAUAGAUGCGUGAGUGUAUUGCGCCUUUCUUGGUAAAGUCCCUCUAUAACAGGGUUCAGUCUGCAACUACUAGAGUUCAUUCCGCCCUUGUUCCGUCACCUGCCCAUUCUGUGCUACUCUUUGGGUACUGGUGAAAUCCAGAAUGAAGUGCCAAAGCUCGGAAGCUGCAGUUCCAGUUUAAUAGCAAGUAAAGCAAUACUGAUGUCCUGACAUGCGUGUAUAGAAUAUAAGCCUAUAGAGGCAUGCUCGAAUUAACAAGCAGAAAGUAAGUGGAGGUAGGCUAACAAUCGAGCUAUACAGAACGAUAGCCAAUAGUAAUCAAAGUCAUCAUUAGUAUGGUUGCUGUGGACAAGCAGUAAGCCCUAGUUCUUAGUUAAAGUCCUGCUGGCACUGGUUUCAUAUUCUAUAUUCAGAUAUACUAGAAUAAUAAUAAAGCCGCUAGUAAGCAAGGCCCUAAACAAGGAGAGACAGACUCCAACUAGCACAAGUGAGGCUCAUAGGCAUUAGAGCAGGUUUCUAGUUCCGUAGGGGAAGACACCUAAUAGAGCAGGAAAGGCAUAACUAGUAGUUAGGGGUGGUAGUACCAGAAUCGGAAUUGGGAGUGGCAUAGUGGGCUAAGUGAUAUAAAGAAAUUCAUAAGGGAGUGUCAGUUUGAUAGCUAGGAGGGAUAGACCAACAAUCUGAAAUAUGCAUUGAAGCCGGGAGCCUAAGACAACAACUCGAGCAUAUGAAUUAUGGGACAGAAUGGAAUAAUGGAACUAAGUCGUAUGGGAAUGGGUACGGACCUAUACAAGAUAGAAUCACACUGGAACACAGGAAUUACACGGCGUAGUCCGAGCCCUUACUUUGAACCUUCAAACUGAAACCCCGGACAUACCAAUAUGAAUUCCCUCGGGGCAUCUAAAUCUGAAUGCACCCUGUACUCAUGAUAGAUUAGCACACGACUCCCCUUUAUAGAAAGAAGUCUAUGAAUCUUACUAAUGCCUUGAACACAUCGUCUGUAAUCUAACUAAUAACUAUUAGAAUCGAAUUAUGUAACAAUAAACCAAGUAAUGGAAGAUAUGGGUAUGGAUCCAGGGUAUACUAAGCAUAGGGACCGACCCCAGCGCAUCUAAUCCUUCUGUCGAACCAACACCGAUAAGAAGAAACCUAUUGCUUCUAGUCUAGGCUUCGACUACUCCUAUUAGAAUCGACCUGGUGCUUCUCAUAAUGAAACAAGGAAUACAGGAUAUGUUGUGGAGAACAUAGAACCAAGGCCGGGGAUAGAGAAUAGGUGGGUUCAAAAAGGAAGAGAGAGGUUCGAUUGGGCAAAUCUGAAUUCCAUUCUCCCGUAAGGGCAGCUUUGAGAUAAGUCAAGCAAGAUUCCAAGUCAUUAGUGGAAUAAUAGCUUAGUUUGCAAACGAGUCAGUCUUGUUGUUGUAUGGAGGGGCUAGUAAGGCUCUCUUUUUUUCGCGUGUAAUAAUUCCUGCUGAGUUCGGUUCCACUUCUGUAUGCGCUGUGUCCUACCCCUGUUGUUCUGCUACUAGGGUUCAUUCUGGUGCUCCCCGCUCCAAGUCCUCCAGUGCUUCCUCGCAUAACCGUAUUUAUACCAGAAGUUGGAUUCUGUGCUCCACUACCAAAUAUCCCCUAUAGGAUCGCCUAUAGGUCCCAGUUCCAUUCCUUUUAGCAGAGGAAUUAGAUUCGAUGCCACAAGUUAGUAAGAUUGAGUUCCCGCGUUAUAAGACCAAUAGCCAGGAUAGUGAGCUUUAGAGCCAGUAGCUACAGUUGUCAAGUUGAGGCUCCAAAUAAGUAGUGAGAGAACGAAAACUAAGAGAUCCUUACUAAGAAUAAGGGGUGUCGAAGUUGAAGUCUUCAAUUGGAGUUUCCUAGGUUCGAGACUAUUGCUCUACUAUUUCGUUAUUAGGUGCCUUAGUAACUCCCCUUGCGACAACUCUGACUCAAUCCCUAUUUCUUGGUUGUUGUCGUGCAGUAGCUGAUUCCUGUUAGCCCCCGGUUUGGAUUCUGUUUAUUAGAAUAUAGUUCUAGUGCUUCUGGGCAGUGGUUCAAUUGCUAGUUCCGAGCUCGAGUAUAUCAGGUAGUGAGGAAGCCCCGUCUAUAGCAAAGUGAGUUUGAAAUGCACGAGUAAGGUUUAGGCAUCAGUUGCUCAGUUCCUAUUGCAUUGGUUAAAGAAGAAAAGUCAGUCGUGUCUGAUCUAUUAUCAAAGGUGUGAGUUUUAUAGCGAGGGAAGUCAUACUUGAUGUAGGGCUGGCUUAGGUAGGCAUUGAGUUCAGUAUUGGCCUGCUGCGAGAGAUGCUUAAGCUUAGAGGCAAGGCUAAGGGAAAGGAAUGGCAGACUCUAGCAAGUGAAGUAAGGAUCGAAAUCCAAGUCAAGAGUAAUAGGCAAAAUCGGUAGACUAACAAGGAAAGCUUGGAAUGACCAUAGAGAGUAAGAUUGACUACUCGGAAAGUAAGGCAGGGCUGCUUUGAGUUAAAGUCAGAGAAGCACCUUAUCGAUUCUGAUUAUUGGUUAGUUAAGCCUGAGUUCUCCUCGUAUUAAUCCUUAUUAGUAUAGUAGUACGGUGAUCUAUUUGCCAUCAACACAAAGGAAGUUAUGUGUUAGUUACAUUUUCACUAAUCUCUUUAUGAGUCAAGGCGGAAUCAAAUAGGUAAUUCAAAGAGUCGAACAGGGAAUACAGAACCGGGCCGUAGCGCAUCCAACUACUAAUACAAGGACAUAAACUCUCAACAGGGAAUACCACUCCGCACUCUUCAGCCCACAAAGACUUGCUGCGCGCCCAAAACUGUAGCCUUAUACUGCUAACUUGAACUCGCCAACUAAUGUAUCUCAUUCCCCUUGGCUCCAUUCUCCUUUUCUUCUCUAAUCAUUCAGUAAUCUUAUCCACCAUAUUUGAAUUGGGUUUGUGACUUAUCUAUUCUCUUAUUAGAAUUGUAGAAUGCACAACUACCCACCUUAAGAUGAUAACUAAUGCCAACACAGGACUUCAAAUAACUAACUAAAGAAUCGAGGAGGGAACUCGCCCUAACAACAAGAGAACUCAUCCUAACAACAGAAAAAUGGAACUCUAUAUAUAAGUAUAGAAAUAAGCCCAGUAAAACGGAAAGAGAGGUUUAGGUCGGCAAAAGAACGGAAUUGAGAUUAAUAAAGAAAGAAGUGGGUGACCAAAGAGAUAGGUAGCUUUAAGAUCCAAGUAAUUAAUCAAUUGAAGCGCUAAGUAGUCCAAGUCAGUCGCUAACACCUCUGCUCUGGGCUCCAAAUAGAACUCCGACAAGCAGACGAGUAAUGACCAAUGUAAGAAGUACUCGAUAAGAGUAGAAAGAUAGGCAAGCAGCAUAGGGAGGGGACUGAACUCACAACUAGUAAUUCCAAUAAGAAAGAGGAAUCAAACGACUAAGUAAAAGAGCGAAACCCGGCAACCAGGCUGACUAUCUUUACGUUCAGUCUACAUCUCUUUUGUUGAAACCUGACAACUCGCACGAACCAACAAGGCUUACUACCUAUUCCCUAAGUCUAAUUUCCCUGUCUCCAAGCCUGCCUCCUUUUAACCCAAGUAUAGGCACCUACCUCUACCCUUCAUUCUCUAUUGACUAUUUCCUCUAUCUGACCUCUUUCUUUCAUUACUUAUUGCCAGCUAUUGACUUAUACCAAUACAAACAAGGGCAGCGGAACGAUGGCUGCUGCUAACAAGGCUUGCUUUACAACUUAUGAGUACGAGGCUAUCGCAUUAGUGAAUAUAAUAGUCAACUCAGAAUCAUACCGAUAAAGGUUAGAAUUGAUUGGCUACUACCCUACCAUAUCUAAUAACAAUGAAAACAGAGUGAAAGAACUCAACCAGUACCAACAGGACUAUAGCUUCGAACAGGGAAUCCAUCAGUUAUUGACAAGAAUCGCCCUCACAUAAGUCUACGAAUGCACGGCAGGCUGCCCCGGAAUCGGAGUCUCACUUGUUAGUUACGGAAUCCAGAGCUACUAAACCACUAUUAACUACAGAAGCUUAAUCCACCUAACUAUGAGUUCUACUGGUGCUUCUAAGACGGUGACUACUGCUGGCAAGGCGGAAACAGUACCUAACAAACAACAACCCUGAUUGAAAUAGUUCACACGAUUUGAAUGUAACUACUAUAACUAUAAGACUUUAUGUAAUUACUGUUCCUAUCUGUUAGCCUGUCUGGACUUUCUUUCUUUAACUAAUGACUUAGAUUCUGACUUGUUAUGUUAGGAGUGCAGAGGUGACACGUUCUAUUGAAACAAAGAAUUGAGCCGGUACUGACAAGACGGACUCCGCUAACAGGGAAUUCACUAACCGAGACUAGGGCUUUCACUGGCGCUUUAAAGGAUUUCACUGCUGCUUCUCAUACCUUAUGCUGCUGAUGAGCCUGUCCUACCUUGCUUUUAGGCUUACUUACUACCUAUAGGACUUACCUUUCUUCUUAUCUAUAUAUAUUAGGCUUACUUACUACCUAUAGGACUUACCUUUCUUCUUAUCUAUAUAUAUUUUUCUUAUGAUUGAUCGAGUCGACUCAACUUCCCUUGCUUUCCUAGGUAGUCUAUAUCUCCUUUUUCUCCGCUUUGGUUUGCUUCUUUAUCCUGGUAUUCUGUUCACCUAUUAACUGGAAUGCGACUACUGUCACUCACUAAAAGAAUAGAAAAGUGCCCGCUCAUACUUAAACUAGGAGCUCGGACUUCCCUUGCUGGCUUAUAGUCUCCUAUUGCUUUAUCUCAUGCUACAACUAAUAGCUACUAGGAUCACACUCCUACUGACAGGAAUGGAACUAUCGCUUCUCACACUCUAACUUCCGCCUAACAAGGCUAUGGCUCUUAACUAUUAAUUCAACUCAAAACUAGGGCUGCUUUAGAUGUCUACUAUUAGAAUAGGACUACCGCUUCUCAUAAUGGAGCUUCUACUAGCAAACGGACUAUCGCUACUGUUUCUCUGACUCUUACCUAUAAUAAGGGUCGAUGUAAUUAAGCUACUGCCAAUAAGAGAACAACUAUUGCUUAUGAUAACUUACCUCACUAACUUGGUCUGCCCCUACAGCUAUUACAUCAACAGUGCCAACUCGAUUCUUGCUUUGGAACCAACGAUUCUCUUCCUGCAUACGCUAUAUUCUCAUCAAUAGACUCCCCAUUGAAUAAGGGUAAGAGGCUCUAUAAAGCGGAGAUCCUGUUUUAAAGACUGGAAAGAUCGCUUUUCAAUCAGUAGGUCAAGUCCUAGUUAUUGGUUCAAGUAUUGAUAGCCUAGGUUCUAUUCUCUUAUGUCUCCCCCACUUUAUGAAAUUAUUACUUUCCUUACUAUGGAGUCGAGGUAAAUCAUGUAUUUCGUAUUGGAUUCUUUCUCUCCUUUAUUUGAUUCUUUAGUAAAUAGCAGCAAUGCCUAUGCCUUAUUACCUCUAUGCAUAUGGCGAGGUUAACUCUGUUACUACUGAUAUCAAUUAUGUAUUUGCCUUUGAACUCCGUUACUAUUGCUUUUAAGCCUGCUCUCUUCCUAUAUCCUAGUCUAACUUACCUUCUGAAACUGACUUCCGCUAGCCUGCCUUCUCCACCUUUGUGUGACUCUUAGGCUCCGCGCUUUAAUGCUAGUGGUGCACUUAUCCAAGUCUGAAGCGACUUCUAUUCAUUCUUGACCUCCCUUAUAUCACUAUGCCGCUCCCUACUAGAAACUAGACUCCUGACUCGCAUUCUUGCUUCUGAGCUUCAAACAGGAACUGCUUACUUUCUUCUUAGUCAAUGGUCGGACUAUUGAUGAUAUAUCGUAAGGGAUAGAAUCGAACUAGCGCUAACAAGGCUGAUAUCGCUACUAACACAAUAAUUGAUGGAAGACUUUAUAAGAAUAAGAAAAGAGUACUGACUUAAUGCUAUACCGGAAAGAGUGUAAACACCACUAACAGGAAUUCAAAUGCUAAGUAAGAGAAUGAACUAUUGGACUAUAAUAAGAGAAUCAGAAUCAUAAGAAGAAGAGAUUUGUACUCCAGCUCAAGGUAUGGUUCGGGAAGGUAAGUUUGAAUAAUGAAACUAGAAAGAUAGGUCCCCUACACUACAAGGCGCCUAUAAGACACCGAAAGAAAGAAUUGAGUCACUGAAAACACUGUCAACAAGGCCGGUACUUCUACUAUAAAGAGUGGAACUGCUGCUAACGAGGGCAUACUAAAAACACAGGAAUGGAAGGCAGCACACGGUUUAGGGCCUAGAUCGCCCCUUAUUAUAGGACUCUUAUCUUGUACCUGAGGAGUGGGAUUAUGACUUAGGCCGCUAAUUCUGACAAAACCUCCAAACAAGUAAGCAUCUAUUAAUGAAAGAAAGGAAACUCUGUUUGAAACCUAGGAGCGGAAGACCUUAACUGGAACUAUAGAAAGAAAGUAGGGUGAUUAGGGCUUAGAGAAGGUAUAGUAAGAACGCUAGCUAGUGAAGGCAGAAUCGAAGACAGAGUACAUGGACUGAUAGUGGGAAAAGCCGGCUCAAAUAGAAGUUGUGAGGCAAAAACAGCAGACCUAAACCAAGGAGUUUAAGAACAAGAUACGAAAUAAAGACUUAAGUGGGCAAAGGAGUAUUAGAGUCGAGCUCCUGCGCUUUCAACCUAUUACUACUGGGAGCAAGAGCAGAACUACAACUUAUAGGAGUCAUAAAAUAAUCCAUAAUUGACGACCCCACUACAUUGCUUGCAUCAAUAGCAUGGGUAGCAAUGAACUCUACCUUGACAUUGGAUGAAACUAGAGCGCCUAUAGCACCGAACUAUUACUUAACUGACAUUGGAUGAAACUAGAGCGCCUAUAGCACCGAACUAUUACUUAACUGACAUUGGAUGAAACUAUUGCAAUGAAGCUUUGGGGCGUUAACUCUGAAUUGUCUUCGGAAGAAAUAGAUAGGGUUUACGAGUGUCUCUUGUCUGGUCUAACUACGUAGCUUGGCGUGUCUUGGCGCUUGCCCGUGCUGUCAAUAAGAUUUCCAUGAGUUUUUGGUUUUGCUGUAUAGUAUAACUUCUGACUAUUUGCUUUUGGAAAUGAGGUGAAAAACAUAGAAAUAUCGCGAUGCGUAACACAUGCCUAUUAUGGAUUUCAACCAAUUAAAGAAAGAAAACACACGCUACUAUUACGAUUAUUAUAAGAGAAUAGAAUAAGGUAUUUCAGAAAGAGCAAAGCAACUAAGUAAGAUGAAUUGAGCUCGGAAGGCAUACUCCAACCAACCCAAACAAGUAAGGAUCUAAAUCAGUAGACAAAGAGUUGAAGCUACGUAAAGGCAGGCUUAUAGGCUGUAAGUCGUAUUCUUAUCUGCUGUUGUGGGAUUCUUGACUAUAAUAAGAGGGAUCGGAAGCGCUUGUUCGAUUCUAUAAUAAAGAAAUAGGAAAGUAAGCCUGGUAGGCAGUAAAGUAAUAUCAAUAGGGGCAAAUCAGAACCACAGAAAGGAGGGUUGGGCUUGGACUUACUAUUACCAGGUUCAUUAUGAGAAGUAGUAUUCAUAUUAAUCAGAAUAGAGCUUAGUAUACUAAAAGCCAGUAAGAGAACGAAACACUGUUGUCAAAGCCUUAUAAAGAGCCCUCCGUGCCAAGCCUUGCUCGCUAGCUUCACACUGCCACUCCAAAACUCAAUGCAUACGCUCUUGGGUUAGUAUUCCCUUACUCUUGCUUUCAAACGAUAUCUGGUGCUUCUAAGCCUACUACCUUAUUAACCAUAAUUCUUAUGUUCCUAUUUGACUAUUACUGUCCUGGCUAUAGGGCUAAUUCUCUGUAUUUGAAGUCUGUCUCUCAUUAGCUUCAACCUCGGGAACUCCCUUCUCUCAUUCUCUAACUACUUUGGUUGAUCUUGACUUUCUCGCCUAUGAGCCCAUAUCUCCUCUAUAUCCAUAUCCCCUCCAUAUCUAGAGAAGUAUGCCGCUACGGACAUGAAGUAUUAUUUGACUUUCUCUUGUUCUCCAACUACCUAUAGAAAGAGUGGAACUAGCAAUACAGGAUAUGGGUAUACCGCUUCUUAGGCUGGAAACCGCAACUAGAAGAUUGGAACUAAUGUCGACAAUGCCUAGUUUGUCUAUAACACCCCUUUCUCAAAGCCUGUCUCUCUGUCUUUUCGUUCUAAUACUUGUUCCUGACAUCCUUUUAUGGGUUAGAGUAUUCUACUGCUUUGCUUAAUCGCAUCCCGCGCUUAGGCUCAUUGCUCUCAUUCUUUAGUUAAGGCGAGGGUCCUGUACUGCUUAGCUUCGUUCUGAAACUCCUGACUCGCGUUCUGACUAUCAGAUUAGCUACCUGCCUAACAAGGCUUUCACUGCAACAAGCAAGACAGCGCUAGCGCCUACCAAUACUGUCUAUAAUCCCAAAUGGAACUAGUAAGUAGCGGACCUACACAAAGAAGUUAGCCUACCUUUCCCGAUCUCGUAUCUGGUUACCUUGACUCAAAGAAUACCCAACAAGACUUUCAUUCUCUAGCUGCUGAACAAAGGACUCGGUUAUAACAAACAAUAAAAACACCGAACACAGAGCGGCCCUUUAGCGACACCAAUUACUUAAGUGCAGCGGUCUAACAACGUGUCUUGUCUGGUUGCCAGGUAUUUUACCACAAUUGAAGUGAGUUUGCCAGAGACGGUAAAUAGGUCUUUUUCCGCCUUAACCUUAACCCGAGUAUCAAAUCAGUGUAGUCAAAGAAAGAAAAGAAAAAAGCCCCUAAACCAAGUAGUGGUCCAAGCCAAACUUAUAUAUAUGCGUAACCAGAUUGCCUCUCCUUUGAAAUUGGCUUCUUCAACUCCCGUUAGUGCAACAGUAACUCUUUUAGCCGAUGAAUACCCUUAUCCAGAUCUUUAAACGGAGUAUGGGCUUGUUCCCGAUCCUGAUCUUGUUGACAGAACUCCCACUUGAUGAUUCUUCACCGACAAGAACGAAACUUGAUGAACCAGAACCGUUUGCAUUAGCUUCAGAUACAUCUUAUGCUGGAACAAUACUUUAGAACUCAGAAUUCGACUCAAACUUAGAUAAUGGAAUUGAAGAGCAACUUUGCCACUACUAGACAAGUCCUGUGUUCGGCAUCCAAGACUGAUGCUAAGUAGUUGCAGGUUGAUGCGGUGUCUAUUGAUUCUCUGUAUUGGUCGCUAAGGUAUCUAUUGCUAGGUAGCUAGUAUGGGGAUGCAGCUAAGGUAUCAAACCCGUAAGUGGAAGGCGAGGAAGAAACCAGUAAGUAGAAGCCUUAAAGCACCAAGUAGUAAGCCCUAAGUUAUUAGUAAGUAAGCAGUAAGCCCUAAGUGUUGAGUAAGCCCUAAGCUAAGAGAGAGUUGAACCCUUACUUAUUAAAGCUGCUUGCCCACUUGCUAUGUGUUUUCAGAAUGAAGUUAUAGGAUCGGAGGCAGAAGAUCAAGAUAGUACUUGCCAAGGUAUAAAUUCCCCGAUGCUCAAGUAUCUAGUAUACAGGUCGAUAUCAAGUAUCUGGUACAUAAGGGUCAAAAUUCCCCAUAGUACUAAGUUCAUUCUUUGCCAGUAGUUUAGAGUUGAUAGUUGCAUCCCCAGUCGAAUCAGUAUUAGUUAGUGAAAUACCGGAGUAGUCGUAGUAGUAGCUUGAGUAUAGGCCCUUAUAGUAAGUUGCCGAGUUUGUCUACUUAACUACGUUGCUAAGGUUGACUUCUCUAUCGGAGUUAGUGUAUUUGUAAAGGAGUUCCAGAGGUAUCCCCAGUUUUAGUAGUAGUGGCUGGGCAGUUGGGGAAAUUAAUAGUAAGGGCCCCGCUUUUGAGUGCUGUGUUCAGCUAGCGCAUUCCUUUAAUAGGGAAGAAUAGGGAUAGAUCUAGCACAUAAGGAUUAAUAAUAACAUAAGAGGUCUACGUAAUAGAAUCCGUAAUAGGGUACGAGAUAGCGCUACACUACUGAUAUGGUUCCUAUGAUAUGGUUCCUACUCCGGAUAUGCCUAAAGCUUCUGAUUGGGUUCCUACUUCCGGAUACUGCAUCCCUAUAUCCUACUCUGGAUACAGCUAAAGACCAAUACAUACCCUGGUUUUCGGGUGACGAGAGAUAAACUGAGCAAUCUUACAGACGAAUAAGAAAUUCAGUAUUUACUUUAGCUCGGAAAGAAUCCAUUCUGUAUUAGUUGACAAGCUGCCCUUAUGUUAAUGGUUCUAGUCUUAAGACCGGUCCCUAAGUUACAGAAGUAGGGAUGCAGGGAUUGAUACUAAAGAGCAGAGCCAGAGUGGAAUUAAGAUCUAGUUGCCAGCUGCUUGGCUGUUGCCUAGGAGCCUCAUUCAGUUCUGUUAGCGGAGAUGCUCUAGUCCACUGGCUUUGAGGCUAGGUUUACUUACUUGUUAGGGUAGUUUAGGGAUAGGUCUCAUUCUUAUCUUAAUUGGAGAAAUUCUCAUAUCCAUCACUCAAUCGGCUUUCUUGUCAUAAGCAUGAUAUUCCUUUAUUUACUGGCAAACAAAGGACUUGGGAUGAGCAAGAGGUGUAGUAGAGUAGUUUCAUCAGUGAUAGUUUAGGUCGGGGAAGCAAGAGAAGGUUCACACAGGACUCCCUCUGAACUCCUUAUAAUGCAUAUUGUGCUUCUCGUCGUUGCUUGUUGGUUCCAGUCUCUGUUUCCCCUGCAGAGUAGUUUCAAGAUAGGGUAUAGAACCGGGGUGGGUAAUCAUAAGAAUAGUAGGAUUGAUAAGAUGAAAGUAUCAUAAGAAUAGUAGGAUUGAUCAGUAGAAAGUAUUGUUCCAGAAGUAUCAGAUCAUGCCCACGUAGCAGGAGUCGAAUCAGGAUCCUUAUAGUAUAGUAUAAGUAAAGGUUGACUUGUUUUAAGUGCUCGUUAAGCCGUAGCUCUAAGUCUGCAAGUAAAGUUCCUGGUUUGUGGAGUUAGGUAUAGGUCGACAAGGGAAGUGGAGUUUGGUGCUGCAGCUCCUAGUAGUGGAGGCGCAUCUCAACAAGCAGACUCCUUUGGUGCUAUAGCUCUAGAAAGAGUUUGUAAGGGAGUUUAUUCCUUCUACAGGGUUGGUGACUUACCUGAUUCUACUAGGUUGGUGACUUACCGGAUUCUAUUCUAUUAUACCCAUAUGCCCAGCGAAAUCCUAUUAUUAUAUGAGAAUUCAAGGGCGGGUUCAUUGAACUAGUUGGUGACUGGGAAUGAAAACACUACCGAUGAGAAUGCAUGAGUCCCGAGUGAAACUGUGUCCGGGAGCUCACUUUUCUUCAAGAAAAGAACUUCCCUUUCAGACCUACUUUAAGGGUAUGUUCCGAGAUACUUUCCAGUGCGGGGCGGGUUUACAGUUCCAGUUCUCUUAGCGCUACCCAUCGCUACCCAUAUUGGUAGAAAGAUAGGUACCGUGGUUAGAGUGGCUAGGUGCCAAGGAAGCAAUAGAAGAAAGUACCGGCUUUGAUUGUUCGGUAAAGUAAAGUAGAAAGUUAGGGUCGAGUUCAGGGCUUAGUCCAGGCAACUACUGUAUUAGUUGCAAGAGGAGAGCCCAUAUAGAAUACUUCUUUUCUUCUUUUCUUUCUAUUUCCACCCCAGGUAGUCUGGUUCCCGCCCUGAAGUUAAUGGCGAGUUAAGUUGACGGAGAAUGCCCGGAUUUCCCCCUUCAUAGCUUUCUUCUUUUCAUUGUGAUCCAAGCAUGAAAUAAGUGGGUAGCUUUAUUCAGUUCGCUUCACCCCUAAGGCUUACUCUCAGGGUGCAUUAUAGAGCUUACUUUACGGAGUUGCAUUAGAGCGUACUUUCCUACAAAGCUCACUAGCACACUUGUCUCUUUCGAAACGGCUAACGCACCCUCUCUGUAUUUGAAACGUAAGAAUAGAGGCUCUUAGCACCUUUCCUUCCCUUAAGAAUAGAGUUGACUACACUAUAAGGAAAGUCUCCACAAGUGUUUUGUUCGAUAGGCGGGCGAGGAAGCUAUAAGUGCGGAAUAUGGGUAAUAGGGGAAGUUCUCUGAUGAAACUGGGCUACUCUACGACUUUCAGAAUAGAGUUUAAUAAGCUAUUACCGAGUCCUGUGUACAAGGGAUUUGGUGAAGAUGCCUCAGAUGAAUAAUGAAUUUCUUAUAGUUAUUACUAGUCUAAAGCAAUUCCUGUUUUUGUAGUAGUCGGCGCCUCUCCUUGCGGUGGUUAGCUUGGCCCUCUCUUUGCCUUUGCAGUAGUGGCACUUGGACCUAUAAUAAGAUAAUAUAUAAUGAAUAUUGGUUUCUUCUACUUUGUCAGUAUAGUUGAAUAUUCGAAAUUCCAUUCCAGUUUAUCAUCGGACUAUGGGGAUUCCUAUGGUGUUAAGUAAGCUCUAUUCUCUAUCUUUAUACCGGAUUUAUUACUGACUUUAGACCUUCUUUCUUAUAUAAUACACAGUGACCAAUUCAAAUCACCCGUUAAAAGAGAGCUCGCCUACUGUCUUUUCAAUUCCAUUCUUAUGUACCAAGUCCUGUGUUCAUGGCGGAGAGGUGUAUUGGCUUACUUUGGCACUGUGGAUUCAACCAACCGCUUCUGAAGUUGCUGUGUGAGCUCCCGGUAGUCCUGGGCGAUCAGGAUUGAACUUAUCAGUAACGGAAUGAGCAAGCGGGGGCAGAGGGACAGACGGACCAGCCAUUGAUUGUGACUUUUAGAGUGUGAGUGAAAGUAUCAUUCGUUCGUUAGGGAACCCUGCUGAGUACAGUGGCAGCAUAAACCAAAUAAGUAAAUAAACACUAUAUUGAUUGCUUGUCUCAAGGGAGGUAAACUCUUUUGCAUUUAUAGAGGAAUACCGGGUGUCAUAGCAAAACGACCCUCCUAUAUUACUCUGGGCGUACUACUUACUUAUCUUACUCCUAUAUUACUCUGGGCGUACUACUUACUUAUCUUACUCUGGCUUUUUCACCAAUGAUUCUAUUACUUAGCUUUGAAACCAAUUGACUUCACACCAGAACACAUAGCUUCAUCACUCAAUGAAAAAUCACUAGCUGGUUUUGAACCUAGUUUCUCUUAUAGUUUCUCUAAUACCUGAAGAAGAAAAUCGAUUCCAAAUCUAAUAUGAGAAAACACAUUCCAAUAUCCAAUAAUGUUUUUUGCAUUAAUGUAAGUAGGGGCAUACAUACGAUAUGAGACACCUAGACUAUUACCAAUAUCAAUACCAUAUAAAAUACUUAAAUAACAUAUUUCAGAAUUCCAAAAAGAAGUAAGAGUCAAAGAUAGGAAAGCAAGACUCAAAACUAGGAUAGUCAGACUGAAGGCAAAGAAAGCAAGGUCAAACUACAAGUCUGAUGGGAAGGAAAGCAGAAACACUACCGCUAGAAGACUAGGCUCGGGCUACUCUGGGCUUGGGUCUGCAGCUACUCAAAUGACAAGUCAGAGCGAAAAGCAAGGCUGAUAGGCGGGAAAGUCACACUCUAGCUCGGGCAUAAGUGGAGAAAAGAUAGGCUCGGAAGCCGAACACAGGAAUUGUAAUAACGUAGUAGCUAAGUAUACGCUUGGCCCGUAGCUUGGUCCUUCUAUUCGGGGGGGUUCAGUUCUACCUUAUUACCAGACAGAAGAGGAGGUGAGCUUUCGACCCUAUUCCUUAUUCCCAUUAAUCUUUCGUGUGAAUCGAGACUGGAUUUGCUUUUGAUGCCUGAAGCUAGCUUGAAAGCGUAGGAAGCCCACGCCACUUAAAGGAAUCCCGUGCUCGCGCAUAAUAAGCCCUAAACUCAAAUCGAAGUUGUUCUAAUCAAUGGCUUCCUAGCCCAUUCCAUUACCUUCUUUUCUCUCUUUAUUCUGUGCUUUAUGUUGGAAUCAGAGAAUGAAUGAGAGCGCAUUACUGGAAGGAUCAUCCGCGAAUGAAUGAGAGCAUUACUGGAAGGAUCAUCCACACACGAACUUCUUGUGACUAUCAAAAGCCAGAGAGAUAGAUCACGCAUAAAAGCUUAUCCCUCUUAGAGAGAUGGAUCACGCAUAAAAGCCUCUAUUGUAGGUCGCCCUACCUCUCGCGUAGGUGGACUCAAUGACAUCCCCCCUAACGCUUUGUUCCAGCUUAAUUACGUAUACCCUAUCCAGUAGGUCGAGCUUAAUUACGUAUACCCUAACCUUUCCGUCGAUCUCCCUUUAGUCGUCUCUAACGAGUCAAGCCUCACCUUAACAACGUCUCUGCUCUCUCUACUUGGAUUUAGCUCGUUCGUUCUCUUCUAAAUAGCAUCAUUCCAUCUAUCCUGUGAAUUCAAGAUGAUCUGCAGCCGAAUCAGCAUGCGUUAAUUCCGUGUGAUAUGCAAUCUUUUCUAUGCGGCUUCUUUAAAAGAAUAACUCCAGUAGCUGUUAUUAAAAGAUAAGUAAACAAACUCGGAUUUCUCUUGCAAUGCAAUCUUUUUCUCUCUACUAAGGCAUAAACAUACUUAGCAUUCCUACUGCGAAUGCAAUGUCUGGUCACUUUCAAAUGGAUGAGCUUUCAAUAUAACUAUCUCUCCUAGUUUUGGGUCAGGCUUUCAGCUCCUUACAUCUUCUCUUCUUGCCUUAUAGUGCAGGUUGGAGGGCGCCUAGUGUCUUGUCUGCUUGUCCGUUGCUUGGCGGAUUCAUUAGUCAAAAGGGGCUAGCUCAAAUGCAAGGAGCUCUUUUCGCAGCAAUUGAAUCAUCAAAAGUAGCAAUAGCAUUUUCAGGAGCUGGAUGAGAAGAAGAUAUGCCAUAGAAAAGCAGUUAGGACAAAGAUUGUGGAAGAAUCGCCAGUUGACGGAAUAAGAGCAGUUAUAGAAUGUGCCUUACCUUCGGGCUUUACUCUUUAUGUAUACAACUAGGCUCUUUGAAAGAAUAAGCUCUUUGAAGUGAAUAUUCCACACCCGCGCACGUAUAGAAGCUUUGAGAAUUCGAAUAGGCGUUCUUAAAGAAGACAAAGAAAUGCUAUUGAUGCAGCUCGGAAUCGUAUCCGCCCGCUCUUUGCUAGAAGUCUAGAAUCUAUCCCUUUCUUACCUGACACGCUAGGCCCUUUGGUUUACUCAUAGCUUUAUGGCCGCUACCCUUGAAAACAUACUUUUUGCUUUUUCGCCUUAGGACUAGGACAGCUAGGUACUUGCCAUCUAUCUAAUAGCAUCCGAGAAUGCGCUCUUAGCAAUUGAAUAAUCAGCAUAGAAUGCCCUGAGAGAAGGCAGAAUUGGAUAAAUAGCUUCUUUUCCGGUCUAAGAUGCGGCAUUACCAAUAACCGGUGUUAGCAUGUUCGUUUUCACCAACCUUACAUUCAUAGGUUGCAACAAUGCCUUCUGAUGGUUCGUAGGAAUAGGCUUCAAAUGCUGGGUAAUAAGCGCUCUUGGAAGAUAUAUCAACCAUGAAACGAGGGGAAUAGCAGAAAUAUAAGAUAUAUAGUUAUCAUGUAUGAGCAGGAGAGAGUCAAAAGGAAGAAGAGGAAUCAGUUGUGCUUGGGUACCUAUGAAACUUCUUCCUCAAAUGUCAUUGCGUGGAUUAGCGCAGUAGCCGGAGUGUAAGCUAUAACCCUAUUUAGUUGGUCUCUUGCUUACGGUUCUUUUGACUCUUUGGAUUAUUUGCUAGAAUGGGUAUAAGAUAUCCACGCACAGAGAAGGAGCUGUUGGGAAGGAAUACUUCUAUUCUCUCUAGAUGCCCACAAGAGGUACAAUAGUUGAGUAGAAGAGAUGGCAUCGAAUCCAAGUGUUCAAGUUCAAGUUCGAGCAGUUCGCCUUACUGAAUCCCCUGUGAACGAAUCUGCUGCAUCGAAUGCCCUCCGCCUAAUCCGCUAUCUUAUCAGCUUCUGUUCUUGGCAUCUGGAGAAUGUGUCAAAGAGCUUAUUCGAGAACAAGCCCUUCUUUCAGAAAAACCUAUCCGCUCGUUCACUUCCUUGCUUCGAGGAGCAUAAUGCAUAGUAUAAGAAGGUGGCAGGGAUGUGGAUUGGAUAUCACCACUAUUGAUUCACCGGUUUCAGUUGCUUUUGCAGCUCCCUCAGGGCAUCUACCCUGAUCAAAUAGCGGAUUUUUCCCAUCUAGGAAUCCUAACCUCCCGAGCUGCUUGCAAUUGAUGCUUCCGUUCCAGCUCUCUUUGCAGCUUUCGAUUAAAGAGCCCACGUCCUUUUACUGCCCCAGGCAAUUCUACGAUGCUCGGUCUCGUGUAAGCCAAUUCUAUAUAAAAGCUACAAGCAUGCGCUAAAAAUACCUCCUAAACCCCAACCCACCUUCUUUGUUUGUGUACUUGAACUGGGGAAGAGCGGCCCGUUCCAUUAUUCCAUUAAUGCUCUUAAUUCUCUUACAGCCGGGUUGGAUUCCUUCUUGCACCGAGUCAACAACUCCCUUCCCGCUUACCGUACCGAUGACUUUGACACCGCUGCAUCUGAUCUCAUCGAUUCCACUCGCACUGCUUUAGAUCUUGUUGUUUUCAUACUCCGGGGGAUACUUAUUAUGCUCCUUAUGCUGCUGUUGGUGUUCAUGUUCGUCAACUAAUAAUGCAUUUUAUAUAGCGGCGCAGAAGCAUCAGAUCUAGAAUAGAAUCUUGCUGGAAAAGACCUUAGUCAUGAAGAUGGAACUGUCACAGACACUGAACCACCUCAAAGAAUCGAAAUUGGACGGAACAACUCCUUUAUACGCGCUUAGUCUUAUUGGUCCUGGCAAUACGUUAAACGCUGAAGAAUUCAUUUGCUAUUUGUCUCCGGGGGGGUAGCGAAGGAGAGAGCCCAGAGGUAAUCAACAAUAUUCAUAAAAUCAAGUCUAAGUAGGGAUUCCGGUUCGAUGUCAUUUAGUUGAAUAGACGGGCGCCUUCAAUCAAUCAAUGAAAGCUUACGUGCGCAAAAAGACAGAUUGGAUAGUUUCUUUAUAUCGGCUCAACCCCUUUCUUUUUGGAUGCAACUCAACAUAUAGAAUGGAGGAUGUGAUCGAUAUUCUCCAAUUGGCGACUACCCCUGAAGGAAGCAAUUAUUUUACUUAACCGAGGUUAGCAGGUGCAGAUCCUUCUGGCUGGAUAUUAAAUAGAAGGUAGUUUCGUCUGGUCAGUAGAUCAUGUUGAAUAAGUGGAGCUAGGUUACACUAUAAGAAUAAGUAGAGCUAGGUUAUUACACUAUCAGAUUACUUACGUGAGAGUCGGAUAUGUCUGCAAUCGUCCUUUCUUCAAGAGAGGGGCGGGCACUAAAAAGAUGUGCAACAUAAGGCAACUCGACUCAAAGGUUACACGAUGUGAAAGAGAAGAAGGUGCUGAAAGCCAUUGACGAUAAGCUGGCGAAAGCAUCAAAUAAGGUGCUGAAAGCCAUUGACGGAUAGCAGAGCAAAUCCAGAAGCUACACACAACGCGCAAUAACCAAGCAUCAGAAUUCUACCCUUUCUUUUGAAGCCGGAGCAAGGGAGGAUGGCUACUUUCAUCUCUAAUCGCUUGAAGAGAUACUCGAUGAACGCUGCUCUUUAUGCAAUAUGUCAUGCUUUCGGGUAUAGAAUAGAAAGUAGGCUCUUUGUAGCAGUAUCUUGCUUCUGGGCUUAAAUAAUGAUAGUAUUGUUUAUUGAUCUGUGUCAUUACUAAUUCUGGAUCGCCAUUCUAGUAAGUUUAGACGAUUGGAAAUCUCAUGUCAUACGAAGGAGUGCCAAAACGGAGAGAGCCCCUCUUGCUACUGGCGCUAAAGCAAAGUAAGCCCGAAGCUAGGGAAUGAUUGAGUCACAGGAUCCAAAAGAGAGAGCUUCAAGCGAGCUUAAUCGAUACUAUCAGUCGAUCUAUUGAAAAAGGCUGCAAGAGAGGGACAGACAAUACGGGAGUUAAGUCCCAGCAAAAGGAGUAGGCCCUUACUACACGUGACUAGACGGAAUUCAACAAAAUGGAAAUCUACUUUAUUGUCACAGCGGGAGCAAAGGGCAUCCCUUGAGAAAAGUAUAAGUGUUCUGUAUCGAAAGCAGACUUCAAGCUUGAAAGUGCUAUAUCUCUCUCUUAAAGCUAGAAAGUGCUAUCUCACUAUUUAUAGAGAGUCAUGUUUGUUCCGUAAGUGUAGUUGCUGAGAGAAGAGAGUGAAGUUACUUAGGGAAUCGGUCACCUAAAAGGAGAUUUCAAGAGAAAGCGAUGAAAUGCAAUUGAUUGAAGAGAAGUGAUUCUACGACUCGCUUGUUUACCUUACUUACAGGUUAGUUUACCUCCUGCUUGAAAGAGCGAAUUCCGUUCUUUGCUGUCCUAGCUUCUUUUUCGGAGACUAUAAGGCUUUAGCCCGGACGAGAGGACUCUCGCUAUCUGUAACUUACUAGAAAGUACUUCUCGUUCGUUCUACCUAUAUCCUAGUGCUUCUCUUUUCUUUUCCAUAGCCUUCCUGUGCUGAUAGUAUGUUUCAUAAGACCAGAGCUGCUAUUAGCGAUCUUUGCCUUCCUUUGCAAGUCUUCUAGUAGGAGUAGUAAGCUAGGGCCAAGUAAGUAAUAUGUCACUCAGUAGUUUUACCCUGACGAUGCAGACGUUAAUGCUUACAGAAAUCCUAUCUUCCUAUCAUCGUCCUUUAGCUCAAGAUGGAUAAGGAAAAGAGAGAGUAUGCAAGCGAAGUUAAGGCUUCUUUUAGGACUAUGAGUUCAGUCCUUCCCUAACGUAUAUUGGGAUAAGGCCUUACAGCUUCUUUUUUGCUAGCUAGAUGUGACUUGACUCCGGUACUACUAUCUUAUCUUGUACAUUACUCUCCUGAGUCAGCUUUUUCCUGUCGGGUUCCAUAAUAAGGACAGAAGAGAUUAGAUCGAUCAAGUGAUAACCGAGGUCCAUGAUAUCCACUGAACUUCCUUUCUAUGGCAAUAGUUGAAGCAGAGAAAAGACAGGAAAUCGAUUGGACGGGGAAUCUCUCGUGAGGCAAGUAGCAACUAUAGCGGUGGGAUAAGAUAAAGCGGAUGCAGCCUAGAAUCCGGGUGGGAGAAGAUCACUAGAUAAGAAGAAAGAUCUAUCAAGCUCUUUUCCACCUGUUCAAUCGCUAGCCCUUCUCUUUUGCAGCUCCCAUUAGUAUAAGGAGGCUAACUCUACUUACUGGCUUGACUUGAGCUUUCUUUUUGCUGUACCUGGUGAAAGCGCUACCCUGAUUACACUAAUUCCAGAAUAUUGGGAUGAUAGCCCUAGCCCUAUGAUCGUAGAACCCCGUUGUGCUUAACUUGAUAGCAGCUUCCCGCGUUCCAGAGUCCUUACACGUGAUAAGCUUCGUCUUCUUGUCUGUUGAAGCUGGUUGGGUGCCGCGCCGGAUAUAGCUUUUCUACAAAUUCUUCAGUGAUUACAUGAAGGUGGUUGGGAUGUCCCCAGUCUUACCAGUGAUUACAUGAGGGUGGUUGGGAUGUCCCCAGUCUUACGUGCAAUUCCCGUCUUUCGGUAAGCAUCUACGAAAACAGCUGAUUCUGGCUGGCUUAUGGAAAUCCAAUCAAUGUUUUCUUCUUCUUUACUUACAUGAAGCAUCUAAUAUGCGCCUAAGAAAGCAAGUAACAGGAUAUAGGGGGCCAAGCAACUAAGACCCUAGCCUAGUCACUUCAUGAAACAAGUAAGUCCACCUCCUUUCUUAUUGUAUGCCGACCUCGACUCUGGCUCAUCUCCACUAGCAGCUGGCAACUACUCAUGAAUAGCUUACCAAGCCUACCUCUUCUCUGGCUCUGUCAACUAAGAAAGAAUUCUACUCACACUCGAGCAGGAGCUGUACUAAAGGGAUUGCACUAACUACUACUGAUGAAACUACUCGUAUACUUGUUGGCACAAGAACUCCGACUCCCCUUUCUGAUUACCUGGACAAGCGUAUACUACUUUCUUUAUUACUUGCUUUGCUUUCGGGUUCUCUUGCCCUACUCAAUUCUAUCUUCUAUAGGAGCAUAUCUUAAACAAUGGGCUUGCCCUUACUUAUAUUCCUGUCUACUUGUCUGCUUUUCGGCUUUCCUUGGCUUUUAGUGCAUUGCUUCUUUCUUUCCCUUGAAAGAUUGAAUCGGGUGGAGGCAUUAUCUAUUGCUCGAGGUAUACCUUUCGAUAGAAGCAUUACCCAUUGUUAGAGGUAUACCUUUCGAGAAAAGCAUUACCCAUUGCUAGAGGUAGACACCUUUCGAUAGAAGUAAGAUGUGGUUGCGGUUCCGAACCUCUGGAGGCAAACUAAAGCAAAAUGAGACCCCUAUUCUCUUUCCGCUGACUUCUCGUCAUGCCUUUGAGCGAAUCGAAUGAUUUUGUCCAAGAUCUCCUCAUUCUCAAUUAGAUGUGGCCACGAGGUGUAGCUGCAUGCUUUCACUUUGGUCUUCCAGUCACAGCACCUGGAGGCGGUAAGUCCGGUUGAGAGAAAUACCAUCCAUGUCUAAAUCGGAGAUCAUUUACUUCUCAAGACGGAAAGAAGAGGGACAAGCGCGACUACGAUUGUACGGGUCAUCUCAUCAGAACGAGCAGUGGCCUUAUUCUCUUGACUCGCGGCCAAAUCUAGCAAGCGCAGAGCUUUUUGAGUGACAAGAAAGGAAAGCAGAGGAGGUAGUGUGCCAGUGUCUAAAGUCUUUGUGCUGUCAAUGAACUCUAGUAUGUAAGAGAUCCAAGAAGUAUUUGUAGCCAGAGUUUAGGUAUGCAAGGGAGACAAUAGGAAGUGGGUAAUAAAGAAAGGACUGGAAGGAUGGCAAGCAGAGGGUGACAAGCAGACGAGUUGGCAAGGACAAAAAUAUGUGGUAGAUCGCCAGCAAGGGAAGAAUUCUCUAGGUAUGCAGGAUAUUGGCAAAAAGGGAUAGUUUACAGUUAAGCCUACUUGAGAGGAAGCUAGAUCAGGGUAAGAGUUCAGAUCAGGAUUGGGUAUGAGUGGAAAGUCUAGUUAUAUAUCAAAGUGAAGUAAAUGAUUGAGAUGAACCCGUACGCCUAACUACUCAUAUGUGCACAGUUAUCCAUGUUAUUAUUGAACAACUUCACCCUGCUUUCCAACUCUUCCUUAUCUUAGACGUCAAGCCAAUCACCGGUAGUGUCUAUCUGUUACUUGGCCUGAAUUGAUAUCUAUCGAGCAAGCAUGUGGUAUAUUCAGUGGAUACACUGCACCCCUUCUUUCUGUAAAACUAAGUUAGCGCACGACCUCGUGAAGAAUCGAUUGCGUCUCUCUAUAAUAGAAGUUUUUAAGGAUACCGCACUGCUCCAUUUUUUGCUGAAGAUGCUCAUCCUGCUGAUGAAGAUGAUACUGUUCCUUUCCGCUUAACCGACGCAUUCAAAAAGAUAGAAAUGAGACUUCUUUGAUCCGUAUUUGGAUCCUGCUGAAGAUCUUUUAACUGCCUAUAAUACUUCUUCGGCUUAUACCGAGGAUUCAUCCAACAGCUAAGAAGUAUUGUGCUGUAGCUCUAAGGUACAGAUAGGCUAUUGCGCCAUCCCCAGUUGCCCCUAGAUUGAAGUUGGGAGAGGUGGGUUCGGUAGCCAGAUGAGAGAGAGAAUCAGUUGGGUCUGGUACUUGCUUACUCGAAUUCACUAUUCUCAAUUCAUAGAAUAGAAUGCGCUGGGAGAACAAUAGGCGAAAAUCUUCCUUCCAUGCUUCUAUUGAUCUUGCGGAACCGAACCCUCACUGAUAAAGCGAUUUGGACCACAUAAGGGUUCAGGCUGUCUCAACCCAUCCAUCUUUCUCUUCCCCUUCGUUUGCUGCUUCCUUUUCCACUCUACUUGAAGACGAAAAACUCCACUUGACCCUUCUCCUCAACAUGAAGUUCCGUUUCUUAUCUUAUGUGAUGUGACUUUGUUCUCCAAGUUGUGUGCACACAAUCUUCCUUCUAUUCCUUAAGUGAGUAAAGAAACUAUAGGGAAGUCUAUUGCUUAGCGAGUUGAGCUUAGCGAAUUGAAUGAACUUCAUAUGAACGACUAACAAUAUAAUUCUAGUAACCCAGUAGUGCGAAGGAUGCUUCUGAUCCAGAUCCAGCUUCAGAUACUAAUCCAUCUUUGAUUCUGGAAAAGAUGAAACAGGAACAGGCAAUUCUGCUUCUCGAGUCGACGCGAACUCCACACUUGAUCUUGUUUGAUACCCUGAUUGAUCUCCUUCUCUUGCCAUUUCGAGAGAACACCUUAAGUUCCUCUCCGCACUAAGCCAAACUCUAGGCAUAUUCAUGUGCACAGGCAAUUCAAUUGAAAAAGCAUUCUCCUUACAUCCACUAUUCCUAGCAAAGAGCGGCACCAUCUAUUCUAGCAAACCCAGAGUGGCAGCAAUAAAAUAGGCUUUCUUUUUGAAGAGAUUGUGUUUCAAUACAAACAAUUCCAUUCAAUUAAACCUUCUUCCGGACUCUCACUUUCUGACCUUGAAGACUUAGAGCUAGAGCACCGAACCUUUCUCUUUGAAACCACCAACAAGAGAUAAGAAGGGAAGGGGUCUAAUGCAAAGGGAUAGGAAUUGACUUUCUCACUUUCACUGGGGAUUCCCAUCAGAUAGAUAAGGUAAGUCAGCAAGAGAAGAG